rnacentral:lncRNA from 1 species
AAGGAAAAAAUUAGUGAUUCGAUUUUUGGGUAGUCAAAAAGGAUGUCAUUUGGAAGUUACAAACCAAAGUUUUGAGCUUUUGUAUUAACCUGCAGUAGCCAUGAUGUUAAUGGUCAGCUAACUAGCUGUCUUGGAGAGAGGAAAACAAAAUACUGAAGUAAUGGAACAAAGCCAGUGAAGAUGAUGCAGUUUCACAAAAAAUUAGAAGUUGACAGUCAGAGAGGAAAGCUUUAGUUUUACUAGUUUAGACAACCUCUGGAUCAAAUUUUGGCCCUCUGAUACCUUUUUGUGUAAAAAAAGGCUAUGUAAUCAGAAUAUUGACCAUAUUCUUGAGUUCUGUUUACCAAGGAUCAGCCAUCAGUGGUAUCAAGUAUGUACUCUUAAAACUCGUGCUUUAGUCCAUACUCCAGCUACUUUUAAUUCCAGAAUCAUUUAGUUUUUGGCUUGAACAAUGUCUAGACACAUAACUGGAAGAUCUCAUCAGAAAACAGUUUGGCAUAUUUUUAACUGUUUUUGUUGUUCAUUUCCUCAGCUUGUAAUUGUUUUGACCAAGAAGUUUAAUGCUUUUACAAAUUAUUUUCAUUCAAAUGAAAUUCCGUGAAUACUUAUUUCUUUCUGUUAUCAUUUAAUUUAGCAGUUAAAAUUAAAAUGAAAUUUUGUUAGGAGGCUUCUAUUGAAGUUAAAAUUGCUUUUACAUUCAGGGCUUUCCCCUGCAGUGCACAAUAUCUGCAGAUGUGGAACAUGUUUGAACUUCCACUGGGUCUAGUUAAACUGAAUCUAUUCUUCACUGUGCUUUUGUAUGCUUGUAAAAUUCAAAUCUGUAUUCUUUCAUUGUAAAAUGCAUUUGAAUUCAUUACUUGCAUCUGCUUUGCUUCUUUAUAAUGUAGAUGCUAAGAAGGAAUCAGUGUUUGACAUGGCUGAGAAUUAUUCGUUCAGGUGAACAAAUAUUUAGAGAACUAUGAGAGAGCCCUUACUGGAUUUGAAGCGGCUGCCUUGAAGGAUCCUGGCUUAAAUGCCAUGGAGGAAGUUGAGAAGAUAGUUCAUCUUCUUGACAAAUUGGAGAGUUUGCUAAAGGUUAGUUGUUUGUCUCCAUGAGGUAUAAUAAAUAUUUGGACCACAUUGAUGCUGCUCAAAUAAACCUCAUUUCCUCUUGCUUAUAACACUGUUGGUUUGCUUGUAUUUAAAUAUUUUACAAUGUCCUGAUGAGUGAAAAGAAGAAGAAAAUUUUAGAAGCUAAGGAAGAAAUUAAAAUCUGCUCAAAAUGAUUAAGCUUUAUCGUUACCUAGACUUCAAGUGAUUUAGUGCAUAUGAGUUGAUCAAAAUUAGUUAUGGAAAGAAGUCUAAAUUAUCAGUUGAUGAUAGUAUUGAUUCCGAAGGAGCUUGAUCAUAUUGAUGAUAAGGUAUCUAGCCAGUAAUGUCAAAUGUGGAUAGAUUAAUAAUGAAAAUUCUAGUGUUCGUUUCUUGCAAUUAGUUCCAUUCAAUGAUUAUAAAUAUGCUUGUUUAGUAGAAUAGAACGUGGAGUCUUUGCACCAUGAAAUUGGAAGUAUUUUGUCAUGCUGAUAAUUGCUACUUUUUCUCUCUUUAUAUCCCACAUGCAUACUGCGCAAGUGAAUUAUCAAGUUCAACUGGGUACAUGGGUCAGAACAAGAAUACCUGUAUGUAGAUUUGAACAAAGCUAGUGCCACCAAUAAAUAAGAUGGAUAUGUUUAUAUACAGAGAAGAGUAGGGGCUGGAUUUAGCAGACGCUAGUUGGAGCAUGGUUUGUGUUUGAAGUUAAGCAUUACUAUCUUAAGAAAUCCAUCUUUGACUACUUGCUGGGAAAAUUUUAUAUCCGCAAUAUACCUAGGGUGGAUCAUAGUGUAAUCUGGUUGUUCCAGAAUGCUCAUUUCCCCUACAAGGGGCAAACUUGGUAAGGGCCAAAUAGUAGGCUUAGCCUAUAGGACCAGAGCACACAGUAAACAAUUUGAUCAAUCACACCACCGUCAGGUUUGACAGUCAUUGUUGAUCUAAGCAUUUGGCAUCAAUUCUAAAUAUUAUUUUUGACGCUCAAAAUGAUAACAAUGUAACUGUGGUUUGUUCAUUUUUAUGCUCUAUUAGAACAGAUAGCUGAGCAUUGCAUUUUGAGGCAUGCAGACAUUUCCAAUUCUAAUAUGUUUUUGUUUUAUAGGGACAAACUAAGGCUAAGCGACUUGCUUCAUUGGCGUCAUCACUUUCCACUGUAAAUGGUAUGCCAGAAUACUGAUUCUACACAUGUCCUGAAAAAAUUGUUUGUUCAACAUGUUUACGUGAUGACAGAACAUGCUUGAAGUUGCAACCUGAUACAUGCAAUUUCAAUCAUUUGUUGUCUCCUGUGAUUAAUCCAUGUUAAUUUUUUUUAUUUUCCUAUCUGUAGUAAAUCCUUCAUAUAUUCAAGUCAGUGUGGAUCGUCUAGCAGAAGGUUUAAAUAAAGGGGUUGCCAUCGUGGGAAAGGUUCUAUACUUUGUUAAACACCAAAACGUGGCUCCAUUGUGAGUACUUCGCUAGUUUACUUCUCUCCAACUAUUUUGCAUAACAGUUGAGUUGCCACAUAGUUUCACUUUGAAUUGCAGCAUGCACAUGUUUACGUUCAAAAGCAUGCCAUUUUUUUUUUUUCCGUUUCUGAGACGUAUUAUAUUGCAGAUACUAUUUGCUCUGUGAUGCAAAUCAAAUAUGCUAUGUUUUAUCAGUCUAUGGGAUACGUGAUGAUGUGGUAAGUUUUGCCUGGCAAUGAUGAAAGCAUCUUUAUAAGGAAAAAGUUGAUAUUUCACUUGAGUUACAUUUUUCCCUACUGAAAGAAGCCUAAUAAUUUGUCAUGUGAGUAAUGUUUCUAAAUUUCCCGAACAGCCUUAAUUUCUUUGUUUGUUUAAUUUUCUUUGGCUUGUGGUUUGAGUUGAAAGGGGUAGACAAGAAAGAAGGAUGGCUCUACUUGAUUCAUUCCCUCUGUGGUCUCUCUUAAAGUUAUAGGAAAUAUUGUCACAGAUUUUAAUCCAUGAAUUAUGUUUAUUGAAAACAAAUUAGGGAUGCUUACAACCAAGAAUGCAUUGUCCUUGCUAGUUUUCCCUUUCACCAUGAGGUUGAUUAUGACUCACCUGCAGGCCAAUGAAGUUAACCCUCUGAAGUUAUUAAAGAAACUCCCCCUCCCCAUUCUGCCUCUGUCUGUGUCUCUCACUCACGUGUAGGAUGGAAAGUUUCCAGCCAUGCUCUCCUUGUUUCACAUGAUCCCAUAUUCAUCUAAUGAUAUGUUCAUUGCAGGUUAAAGAAGGAGACCAGAUCAUACUGCUGAGUCCCUAUUUCCAUAAUGUUGAUUUCUCUUGGAAUGGAAAGGUGUGCUCUUGACACUUUUUGUCAUCAAAAUCAAUCCAUUUCCCAUCAUCGUUUAAUUUUGGAAAAACAUUCACGUUUCCUUUCUACAGCAAUGAAAAGAUUGAUUCUGCUAAUAUCAUCAAUAAUGAUAUUGUCUCAGUAGCUAGUAAAGUUGGUCGUGUAAAAUAAUUACCAUUUGUAUGGUUGAUUUUGUAUCAGAUCUACCAGUUCAAAUCAGUACGUGUAGACUUCUUGGAGCAAAUGCUUGUUAAUGGAAAAGCUUUGUCUCAUAGCCAGGCAGUUCGAGCAUCGAUCUAUGCACAACAUAAGCCUUGAGAUUGCUUUUCAUUAUUGUUGUGGAUGUUACAUGUGUGAUUUAUAGUGGAAGUCAAGAUAAUCCUGCCGCGAACGAAGUGUCUUUUGUAUAUAGAACUGCAGCACAGAGUAAAGAAAUUUGCGCAUGUAACAUCAUGAAUUCUUCUCUCUUGUAUCCGUGGUAAAGAGAGAACAUGAAGGAAGAAAGCAAGGCCAGUGGUUCAUGAUUGCAGGGUCUGUGCUGCGAUUAUUGAUGAUGAAUAUGUACAAAUUGCGAAGGGGAGAGGCGGGAUUUUUUUUUUUUUACAUGAAAACUUUUUUAUAUUUAGCUGCAAAGAGUUUUUUCUUCCCCCUAUUUUCUUCCUUUUUUUUUAUUUUGCAUCUUUUGUUUUAAUGAGCAAAAAGUUCACCAUAUUUGAUUGCUAAUUUGUACUUAGAGCAGAGCUUGUGAGCAAAAGCUCCCUCCCCAUUCAAAUUGAUUUUUCCAUCUCAUUCCAUUUGUUGGAAAUUCUUCCAAGUGGCCACUAUGACUCUUUGGGCAGGCCCAAAUUCCCACACCUUCCAAUUAAAAAAAUUCAGUCCGAUCUAGAUGGGCCCUUUUCUAGUCUCACGAAACCGAGUCAGGUCCUUUAUCCAUGACUAUAGUUGUUGUCAUUUCUAAGUAAAAAAUUUAAUCUCGUCCAUUAAAAGUGGGCAGUAAAAGAAGGUGGAAAACUGUAGUAUGUAAAUAGUAAGUCAAUAGAGGUGGGGAGGGAUGGGUUGGGUGAUUUAGAGAAGAAGUAUAAGUGAGAGUUUUCUAAUAGUACACCACGGCUUCAUAUCUUCACAACUCAUUUUGGGUCUUCUUGUUAUUUGAGGAAGAAAUUAAUAAGUUAUUACGUGACAAACUAUAUUAUUAAUUAGGACCUCUGCGGUAUAUGCAUGCAUUUGACGUCUUUUUCACCAAAACAUUAAAAAAAAAAAAAAAAAAAAGCACAACGCGAGUGAUUGAAACAUACGUUUGACACGAUCUUCACGGGGUUGUUUGGUGUAUCUGCUUUAGUUUAUUAAGAAUGCUGAUUCUUCAUUAUAAUAAUGCCUGUCAUCAAAAGGACUUAAAGAUGUACUUAAAAUAAAUCGACUGUACUAAGCCAUGAUAAGGAAAGAGAGACAGACGGAUAGAUAGGGAAAAUGUCUGAAGCAUGUGCCAUGAAGGGAGGAGAUGGACCUCAAAGCUACGCCCAAAACUCAUCCUAUCAGAUAGCAAGUUUUCUUCUGUGGGUCUUUUUCACUUCAACUUUUCUGGGAAAACGUUUUUUUUUUUCUAUUUAUAUUCACUUAGUUUAAUUGAUAAAAGAUUUUAAUGCUAAGGCCACUAUUGUUUCAAGCCUUUGUUAGACUAGAAUCGUCUAAAGGUAUUGCAGAAAUUGCGCAUUAUACGCCUUAAGGUGUGCAGAUCUAUGUUUUUAGACUCGGACUGGGUAUCGACUCGGUCAAAUUCAGGGAUCAGGAAUCAAUGGGUUCGACUAGAUUCGAUAGGGGUUGAAUCGGAUGACGUCAUAGAUAAAAAUUAUUUAAAAAUUAAAAUAUUGUAUGUAAAAUACCUAAGAGCAUGUUAAUAUUAAUAAAUGUAUAUUCAUAUAUAUUUGAUGUUUCAAAUAUAUUUAACAAGAAAAUACAAUAAAAUUAGAAAGAUCAAGUAGUAAUUUAUAUUAUUUAAUGAACAUUAACAAGUUUAGAAUUAAAAUUAUGGACUUGAUUGAAAAUAACAUCAAAUUUUAGGACAAAUUUAUAAAGUAUGAAAUAUUUGAGGUAUAUUAAUAAUUUUUAAUAACUUAGGGGUCAACACAUAAUAUUAAAAAUGUUUGACCUUUUUUGAAAAAGGUUUUGAUUGAACUGGUUCUUCCGAUUUUUAAAAAUUGGGUUUGACCGAAUUUUACUCAUCCAAUUUUUUAGAAUAAUUCAGACCGGACACUUGGUCGAUUCCCGAUUCGACUAGUCAGACCGGCCGAUUCAGUCUGAGUUUAAAAACACAAGUGCAUAUAUGAGGUUAAGGAAGACUUUGGCUAAAUGAUAAGAUGAAGGAGAUUAUAAGUAAAAUAUUUUUUAUUCAAAGCCGGUGUGUAAAUCUUUUAUAGUAAAAGUUGAUUUUUUUAUAGUAAGUGGUUGAUAAUUCAAACUUGCGAUCUGGUAGUUAUAGAUUGAAAAAAACUGAUUUUUUUAAAUGUAUAUUUCUUCUACUUUUUGGGUUGCAGGAAGGAGCAAUAGACGUUGAAAAAUAAAUUAUCAACAAAGAAAUUGACCCAAAAAAAACUUGAUGUUGAUCAACUUAAGUGAAGAGCUUAUACAUGUCAAACAAUUUUAAUAGAAAAUAUUUCAAGAAAAGGAACACGGCCCACUUAUUAUAAUUCUCAUGACAUUAAUUUUAGUGAAUUUGGCCCUGAACGAUACCUCUACAAUAAGUUACAUUUGGUCACAGAUAACUAGUACUCCCUCCGUCCCAUUGAAACUGUCAUAUUUUUCAUUUUGGUCAGUCCCAAAAUGUUUGUCACAUACUUAAAAUGGCAAAUGAAUUUUUCUUCUUCUUCCAAUUUUACCCUUCUGACACUGCCUUUUAAAUAUGUGGAUCCAGCAUAAAUUGUCAAAAGAACAAGAUACGCUUUGAAGUGCGUGGCUGAUGCUAGCCAAUGUUUACUAGCGCGUGCAGUGCAAAAUAAGCAAAAAGUUAGUGUAGCUUUAAUAAUGUAGUGGGCCCAAAGUGUUGACUAGUUUGCAUAAACCAUUUGAAUAACUUCAUCCGCACCACUAUAGUCAAAAUUUGGACAGCUUGACGAGGAUAAUUUAGGAAUUACAUACAGCUAUCUCUUAUUCUUGUUUACUAUUGAAAAAUAUUCCAAUUCCCGAAAAGUGAGUACAACUUUGUGUCUACCGACAGAUUGGCUUGUCAUUUUUGUGGUUGCUAUCUAUUACAAUUGUCGUAAUGCUAUCUGGACCGAAUUGGCUAAAAUACAAACACUUAUCUGGAAAUGGCUAGCUGGUAUAAAUCACUCCAUCCAUUUGGGCAGGGAAACCAAGACAUAACAAGGGAAGAGAUAUAGUGAGAUUAAAUGCGUGUACUUUGUGCCAUAAUGGAGGAAAUGGACCUCAAAGCUAUGCCCAAAACUCAUCCUAUCAGGUAGCUUUUUUUGGGUUUUUACAGAUUUGUUUUCAAUUAAUUUAAAGACAAAGGGAUUUCAAGCUUUGGGCCGGUAAAAUUAUAGACACUGCAAAUGGUGCAAUGAUCAUUCGACAAGUCUUAAGGUUUGUAAUAUAAGGCUUGUGUCCUAAAGCUUAUCUAUUAUUUAUUUAUUUAUUUUCCCUUAUGGUUGCAGAGAGGAGCAACAGAAGUUGCAAAAGAAAUUAUCAGAGAAGAAAUUGACAAAAAGCUAGACAUCAAACAACUUUCUUCAACCUCUAUGGAUCCAUUUUGCAUAGCAGAUUUUGGCUGCUCCACAGGACCAAAUACAUUUGUGGCAAUGCAAAUCAUCAUUGAAGCCAUUGAGGACAGAUUCAAAAAAGAGGGACUAACACCUGAAUUUCAAGUCUUCUUUAAUGACCUUGUAUCUAAUGAUUUUAACACACUUUUUGCUUCACUUCCGCCAGAAAGACACUACUGUGCUGCUGGAGUGCCUGGUUCUUUUCACAGUGUCAUGUUCCCAAAGGCAAGCCUUCAUUUUGCUUAUUCAUCUUACUCGCUUCACUGGCUUUCAAAGGUGCCAAAAGAGGUUACAGACAAUACGUCUCCUGCAUGGAACAAAGGAAAGAUUCACCAUGGCGGUGCCAAAAGGGAAGUUCUUGAUGCCUAUGCAUCUCAAUUUGCCAAGGACUUGGACUCAUUCCUGAAUGCAAGGGCACAUGAGCUCGUGGAUGGAGGCCUGAUGGCACUUCUUAUACCUGCUGCUCCUGAUGCUAUUCGUGAAUCUCAUACCAGUACAAUCACAGAGGUAGAAUGUGAAGUUCUAGGAUCUUGCUUGAUGGACUUGGCUAAGAAGGUGAGAUUUUAGCAUUCUAGUUAGUUUUAGACACUGGCGAAAUCAGAAGUUGAAAUUUGGGUUGAAGACUAGAAAAGACAUAUAAUUAUAUAUAUAUUCUCAUUCUUUUAUUUUUAUUUUUUUACCUUCCAACAUAUUUAUUUAUAUACAUUUAUUUAUUUCUCUAAUUUUUUGUCAAAGAAUUGUACAUGAAUGAAUAUGUUUCAUGCUCUUUUUGACUGUUAGAAUAUUAUGCUUUUUUGUCCUUUUUCAUUUUCUUUUUUAUAUAUUUCAUAGUUCAAAUAUUUAAUAUAAAUAAUUAAUAGUUGUUAAAUAAUUAUGACAUCACGAGUCAAUUAAGGUUCGUCCAACGAUUGAACCAAUAAUUUUUUCGAGUCAAUAAAAGGGCUGUUUUCAAAACCUUACUGUAUCCAUUGUAGGGAGUAGUCGACGAAGUGAAAGUGCAUAUGUUCAACUUGCCAGUAUAUUUCACAUUUCCCAAUGAGGUAAAGGCACUGCUGAAGGCAAAUGAAAAUAUGGACGUCCAGAGAAUGGAGAUACUAAACAUUCCAGGAAAGCAAGAGCUUUUUCCCAACCCUACUGCAAAUGUUUUGUACCUGAGAGCUGUCUUACAAGGAGUUGUGGAGAAGCAUUUUGGAAGUGGAAUCGUGGAUGAAUUGUUUGAACUGUAUGGACGAAAAGUUGCAGACUCUUCUUUUUUCUUUGAUCCAGAAAAUCAAGAUCUGAUCGUGAUUUUUGUGCUGCUAAGGCGAAAAAUGAGAACAUGAAUAAAAUGUGCAAAUGAGAGUUAAAUGUCUAAAGCCAUAAAAAAAAAAUUUUUUUUUUUUUUGGCAAGUAGAAGUUUAAUAUGUCCCGUACUACAACAUGCGCUGCAAUUUAGUUUUAUCAUUUAGCUUUUUGCCAAGUAAUAGUCCUGCAAAGGAUCGUCGUGAAUACGAUCACUUUUGCCAACCAAGAAAAAAAGAAGGAAAACUAAAAACUCAUUUCAUAGUGAGUGAAAGAAUAACGUAAUUUUGAUUCCUCAUGGUCAUUUGCUCUAAACUCAAUCUCUUUUUUGAAUAAUUUCGUCGCGAAUAAACCAUAUAUCUCUAAAAAAUAAGCCGUGCAAGGCAAUGCGCCGAUUGGGCAACAAUUUACAUGGGAGCAAGCAAUCAUGAACAAUCUCCCCUUCCAGCGAUGAACCCAUAAACAUCCACGAUCGAUCAAUCAUUUGCCAGUCAAAACCUGUUUCCCAUAGAAAUAACGGUAAACGAGUAGUAGUCUAUUAUCCACAAGCUAUUCAUUUGUUCAGACUGAUAAUAAGAAAGGGGAAUCAAUUCCUAUCUACUCGGAACAGAGAACUUACAUAUAGCAUUUCAUAGCUGACCAAAUUAAGAAUCAAUUUGAUGUUUCGGAUGUCAGAAAGUGACCGUCUGACUGAAGAGAAAAAGGAAAAGAAAUACGAAAAAAGACACAAACGCAGGUGCCUAUACACGCAAGUAUAGUUAUCAGGCAAGCUUUUUGUUCAUCACAGACUCAAUAGACCCAUUUAUAAGUUGAUAAAAGAAAAAAAAAAUUUAUCUACCUACAUUGGUUCGUCGUCCCUGCUCCAGGCGGGAGAAAAUAAAAAAGGAACUACAAAAUACACAUACUAUGGGCAAUAGAAUUGCAAAUAUGACUAUUGUCUGUAGUAGCCACUCUGGUUAGGAGGAUAUGGGGGUUGGACGGUGUAAGGGGGCCUAGGCAUGGAUCCUGGUUGAGGAGCUGCAUUAUAGUAUGGACCACGCCAUCCAGGAUAGGCAGGCUGGCCAUACUCAAGGGUAACAGGAGGCUGCUGUUGAUGCUGUGGAGGUGGGUAUGGAGAACCUGAAGCUGGUACGUGAUAAGGAGGUGGUACUUGUUGUGGCGGAGAGACAUAAGGGGAAGGAGAUUGAGCAUAUCCGGCCAUUGUUGGCUGCUGCUGGGGCUGGUAUGGAGGAGUUGGUGGAUGUGAAGGGUUGGACACAUGCACAGGUUCUGUGUGCUGUUGGGAGUUUGGCCUUGGAGUCUGAUGGGCCUGUCCAGCUGCAGGAUAACUGUAACCACCUGUACUCUUGUUAUCCUGAAAACUGAGACCUGCAAUGUGUCUCUGAACAUCUUCAAUCAUCUCCCGGCACUGAAUGUUCCUUGUCAUCACAAAAUCACUACACUGUUGCUUUAUAUUUGUGAUAGCAUCCUGUUUAACAGAAAAAAUUGAGCGUCAAUAAACAAAUUUUGAAUCGAUUACCAAACGAAAAACAGAAAAAAUGAAAAAAAAAAAAAAGGGAUUCAUGAACCCCGCACCUUUAAUGUGUUUAAAAUUUUGGUUAACAGCCAUGAAUUAAUUGUUAAUAUACAGAAUCAAGCUCAACUUUCUUUGGCAUUUUAAAUUUGUGUAUUUGUCAAAGUAGAGCCAAAUGUAUCAAGGGUAAAGCUUCAUGAACAAUAUUACCUUAUAUUUAGUUAUCAAAACUACAACAGCCUUAAGUAAUAUAUGGGCAAGGCUAAAAAAAUGUAUAUAACUAUCCACUUAAGCCAACUACGGCUUUACCAGCCAGUUCUCUCUAGCUGCUAAACCAUACUAUGGAGGAAUGAACAAUGUAAAAGAUAACAGACUCACAUAACUCUGUUUGUGCACCAUUUUUUUUUAAUUAGCUAAAUCAGUGAAUGAAGGGAGUGCCAACUGUUUGUUCAUCAUUAUUUUUGUAUAAAAAAUAUGAAAUUCAAGCUUCAAAUGGGUAAGAAUGACUUGAAAAAUAUAUAGGGCCAAACUCAUGAAGGAAAAGCUCAAACCUGAAGAGUAACAUAGAACUUCAGUCCUUCAUUUAUGUUCUCCUUAAUUUCUCGAUACUUAGCUAUUGCAGCUUCUAUUUGCUUGUAGCUCUUCUCUCGAGAAGCUGACAAAUUGAAACAUGGAUUCAGGCAUGAAAGCAUGAGCAACAGAAAGCAAUAUUGAGGGCAAAUUUAGAUGGGAAAAGCACUGAUUUUAGCUUGCAUCAAGUGCUAGAGCUGAACUUUGUAAACCAGUAAAGCAAGAAGGAAGUGCCAUAGCAGUAAGAAGUCAUAACAAUGAGUCAAGACUAGCUGUCAGGACAAUAACAAUAGAUUCUUGUUUAUUGCAGCAAUUAGACCUUAAGACUAAACUAAGGGGUGCAAAACUCGGCUCAAACUAGAUCCUACAAGCUGUGCACCAAGAAGGGCGCCAUCAGAAUUUAAACCAAGUACCUAUACGCCUCUCCACAUUCAAUACCCCAAAUUCCCAAUUAACAGACAGUUGGUAAAGGACAAUAAGCCAUAGUCCAAUUAUAUGACAUAUUAAUUCAUGCUAGUAAUGAGAAAAAGACAAUCAAAAUGGCAAGCUACUUUUCAGCACAUAUAUUAGAACCUGCUUUUGAGUCAUUUAGUCUGCUUCCGUGAGCAACAUCACAAAUUAUUGGUGAGAAAAAUUAUAAGCAUCAUCAUUGAUAGAGAAAAAGGAUACUUGAGUUUGAAAAAUCUAGCAAUUUCCAAGUAAAACAGAAAUAAGGGCUCGACAGGCAAAUUCCUCAGCCAAAUGAUAUCUAACUUACCAUAAUUCAAAAACAUGUCUAAUUCUAAGAGGAAAACCAUGUACCAUUACCAAGUAAAAGCCACCGUAGUUGCAGUGCCAGUCAACUUAAUAGGUUAAAGCACCCUCUGCUAGACGUUUAUCCACAGCUAUCAUGAAAAGCAUGAAAUGUAGUCUAGAACUAUGAUUCCACCGUAAACCCAGUAACAAACACCACCAACCAUAGCACCAUACCCUCAUAACAAACAUGAACAGAUGUGAAAAAGCCUAAUGUAAAGAACAUAAAGCAGAACAAACCUUUGAAAUCUUCAAGAUUAAAAACUGCUGCAAAGUUAUCAUUUUGAACCUGAGGCAAAAUAAAGACAAUUAGAACAAGAGGUUCUCAAACCACACCUGAAGCAUCUAAGAACGUUCCAAUUAGGACAGGCAAAUUAUUAAAUCAACAUCUACUCUGAUUUACAUUUUCAUUUAUCCAUGCCUCACCUCCAUGAGGGCAAAUUACCCUAACAAAACUGAAAAGUCAAUAUUUUGCAAAGCAAGGAGAGAAACAAAAUCUAUCAAAAUCUUGAUUUUUAAAUGCUGAUUUCCCUCCACAAGAAUCAUCAAUUGUCAAACUUACAACUCUCUGGACAUUUUAUUAUAGUACACCAUGUUAUCCCAUCCCCAGAGAAGCCUUAAUCAUCAAGUUGAUAAAUUUCACAGUAAAUUCACUUCUCAUUUCUGGAAAGGGAAAAAUUAACCUUGUCCUAAUAAACACAAAUCAUAUGCAUAGUACUCAUAGCAUACCAAAUCAGAUCAUCAGGCAGCCAUAACUACUUCUUUCUGAUCAUUAAGUUUCAUCUUGUCAAAACUAGGAAGAGAAAAUUAGGGGGGGGGAAAAAAGAGUGUCAACAAAAGCAUGCCAAUGGCUUAAAAGUCACUUAAAAGUGGUCAAACAAAUAAAUGUAUUCUUUUCUCUUUUUCUGGCCAAAUGGAUGUUCAUCUUGAUGCAUGUCAAGGCACCAACAGUACACUGCUCACAGCAAAGAUAAAUGUUAAAAAGAAGCACAGCGAUUUCAUCCCUGCACUUGGCUGGUGUAAGAACCACAGGGUUGAUGUUGGACUCGGUAUUAGUGUCUAAUGUUCUAAACAGCACCCGGCUGACAAACAGAAUGAACGUCCAAAAUGCUUAUUUCAUCUCUUUACCACAUCAAAGGGUACCAUAGGACCCAAUAAACAACAUCAACAGAGUAGAGGAAUUACAUAUGAUACCAAUAGAACCUCAAAGAAAUGCUUAGCGGUGAAAACUGCCACUAAAAUACUAACAUUAUUGUCAAUAGGCACCAGGGACCCCAUCGAGAUAUCAAUAGUUUAAGAAAAUACCAAAGUACCUGAAUAUGCAUCAACAGCUGUUCUUGUCCCUCAACAUUUUGCGCAAUUUCUUGACAAAUAUGAUCAUACUUUGCAAUUUCCUUCCUAUAGAGAUCCUCAUGAGAACCAGUCAACGUCAUCAACUUUGGUAGUAUGUCAUCCUGAGCCACAAAAAGAUAAGCACAAGUCAAAAGUAACAUAACAUUAGCAUGAGAACAGCAUGACAGAUAGAAAUGACCACCCUCCGCAUAGAUGUUUGAUUGUAAUUUUCAGAACUACAAUAAUUUCUCAGCUUAUAUCAGCAUAAGGGAAGUUAUAAAUAAGAGAAUAUGGCACUAGAGUAAUACAAGUCAAUAAAUAAAGAUGAUCUCACUAAUUAUAUCUAAGCUAAUGGGAGGCUAAUCUAGUUACUACAUUUCUUCUUGGAUAUAAACAGGAGACUUAUACUUUGGCACUUGAAAACAAGUUCACUAGAAAAGUAUACAAGAAAGAAUUUCUGUUAAGGAAUGAAUUCACCAGUAAGCAACAAAGAGAAUGGUAACAGUAGGCAGAACUAUAACAGAAAGAUAAGUGAAAGCAGCAUGGCAAAAGAAGACUUCAAACAGUUGAUAGUAAAUAUCUGCUCUUUUCUUAGUUCAAAGAUUGCCUAAACAGCUAAACAAAUUGACUAUGAGCGAGUUAUCCUCUGUACCUUCCUCUUCAUCUCUUUUAGCAUGUCUUCAAGACCUGCCCUCUGAGCACCAAGAGUCUCCAAUUGCCUCUGCAAAAAGAGCAAGGUUGCAUUUAUAGUUUCAUGGGAAAAUUAAUUCGGUGAUACAGUCAAUCAGAGUCUUUCAAAGUAGAAUUGAUACUUCACGCAAUAAAAAGGGAGAUGUAGCUUCUUUCAUCAUGAAAACUUUCAUUUGACUUUUUUUCCACCUUGAAACAAAUAGAAUGACAGAUGCACUUAUUUCACAUGUAGUUUUACAAAGAAUGAUUUCAAAAGACCACAAAGUAGUACCGACAACUUCUUCCUUCCUUGUCAUUGUUAUAUUCAUAAUAGAAUGAUGUUUUUAGUACUCCAUUAUACUUUCUCAGUCUACAAACCAAUACAGUGGUCCCAAAUUCUUAAGGAUCCAUCUGUAAACGAAGUCAAAGAGAAAUUGACAGACUUAAUUAGACCAAAGAGGUGUAUCUUGAAAAGCUGAUUCUCCUCAGCAUCAUAUUUUAAAUUCUUUAUUCAUUUAAAUCACAAUGAAAAAACUUCAACGUGAACAUGCCCUAUUGCCUAACAGAGAUUAGAAGAAAUUAGUGAAGUUCCAAAGGUCAAUUUGUUGACAUGAAUUGCAACUAAAUAUAUGUCCAGAAGACUUAAUAAUCUUCAAAAAACACAACAAAUAGAUUUUACACAUUACUAACUCAGAAUUAAAACACAAACAAAACCAACUUACCAAGCUCUGUUUCAGGGCUCCCACUACAGCAUCUUCAUUUGCAUCUAAUGACAUUAUGGGCCUUGACAGCGAGGGUAAUGCAGAUUCAAUCUACCAAAGAUAAAAUGCACAGAAAAGAAUCAAAUUCCUGUUACUUCACAGAAAGUGCUCAAAGAAAAACUCGAGCAUUAGAAUUACGGGUCCAUUCUAAUUCUUAGUAUUAGAUUUUGCUUUUCACACCCACUUCCAGCUUCCAAAAAAAAAAAUACCUCUCCAGACUUGAUUUGAAGAUGAUAAUUCUGCUUCAUAGAAUUUCUAAACAUAUAAAUCUUCAGAUGUUACAUGACCUUUUUCACUAAUCACAUUUUUUCCCGACCAUUAAAAUUAAGGCAAGAACAAGAAGCAACAGAUAACUAAGCACUUGCUGCAAAAAGGGGAAAACUAAUAAACAUCAAUUCAGACAUAAUGCAGUUCCAAUUUCAAAGCCAAGCAGCCACACAACACUCCUUAUGGGAAACAGAACAUAGGAAUUUAUAAGCUCAAUAUUAACCUAACCCCUAGCUAAAUAUCCAUGAAAUCAGAUAAAAGAUUUAUAAAAUCAUGCAAGUGGCUAAAGGAACUUCAGUAUUACCGUCAGAGUAAUUAAAACUGCACAAACUUCAAAACCAUUAAGAGAGGGGGGGGGCUACUGAAGGGUUUCCAAGCCCAUAAAAGAUUUCAAGCAAUAUAUCAAUCAUACAGCAACCGAAGUCAUACAAAUUAACCUAAAUCAAAUAAAGAGGCAUACUGGGCGAUGAUCAAGGAUUGACAUUAGUGCCGAAUGAUCUCUCACAGAUCGCUCUAUCCGUCCAUCACUUUCUGCUGCCUGCUUCAAGUUCGCAGCAAACCUAUUAAGCCGAUCAAGCAAGUUCUUUGUUAAAGUACUAGAUUGUGGUCUAGUCCACCGUGUUCCAAAUUGGCUUCUGAACUGUGCAUCUUCUGUUGCCUCUUUUUGCAAGAGCUCCUCUGUCUGCACCAACAAUUCUUGGUCCACCCUCCUCAAAUCUUUAAGUUGCUGUAACUCACCCUCUAAACCAGCUGGGCCCCCACAAACUUGCACAGCCUCUACAUCUUCUUUAAGAUCUGUUGAUAGAGUGGAAUUCCCUUCCAAAGCAAGAAUAGAAUCGGGUAAGUCCAUCUCCUUCAGCCUCACUCGGGCUAGCUCACUUGCCUGUUGUAAUUUCUCAGCUUGCAUCCUGAUAAUGUCAUCAACCAUUUCUGUAUAUCUUGAAAGAGAUUUUGCACUGCUAUCAGGAACAAGCCUCACAAACAUUUUUUCCUUGCUUGCAUCCAACACCUCAUUCAUUGGCAUAGGCUUCACCAAUGAAAAAGCAGGAAGUGGCGGCAAAGAACUGGCAGUAGGAACCCUCAUUAAGUAGACUCUUUCAUUCUCCUUCACAGCCCUCUCCAAGUUGCGGUUCAGGGUUGAUUCUAAUUUGGUCAUUGCAUCCAGAAGCUGCUGAGCUGCCCCCCUUGGACAUGAUUUCUUUGCCUCAGUCAAUGCAGCAACCCCACUCUUCAAACGGGCAAUCUCCUCAGCUAUCUCUUCCUUCUCAUGGAGCUCCAAACUGUACCUGUAGCAAGCCUCUGCAUAAAACAAGGCUGCUUUAAGCUGAACAUGAGCUAGCCAGUUCUUAUCAAAGUGCUGGUUGAGAGGUGCAACAUUCAGAGCUGCCAGACCCUCCUCAUAAUAUAGUCCAACCUGUAACACCACAACAUGCGACCUCAACUUUGCAGUCAUUGCCAAUUAUGUGAACCCAAAACAUGUGAACUAUAGUAAAGUAACCAUUUUCUAUCAAAAGAAUUUACGUAUUAAUGGACAUACUAAAUUAAGAACAAUCUGCAAAUAUCCAGUAAUGGCACACAUUCAAUAAUAAGAUCAUUAGUAUAUGGGCGACAAAACAGUCAUUAUGAAUGGAAAGAAUAAAAAAAUUGGAAAAGUCCCCAAGUUUCACCAGGUGUAUGGACAUAUGGCAUUCAUAUUAUUGAAGAAUCAAGGACAAUGUAAUCUUUUGACUGAACAGAUCAAAAGGUGAACAAUAAACCAAUAAGCAAAACUUGAAUGCCUUUGUAUAGCCCCUUUUUUUAAUCAACUGACCAAAAAAAGAAAGAAAAAUUCCUCUAAUGGGGACAUUUUCCAGUCUAUUCUUCUUGCGUUUGUUCAGAAAGAAUUCCAUCUGCUGAAGCAUUAUGUUAGUGACUGAUAAAUCGUUAGCACUUGCAAUACCUGUACUUCGAAAUAGUUUCAACAAGAAAAAUACCGAAAAAGAGAAAGACCAAGACAUAGAUGGUCUCAGUUUAGUUACAAAAGGAAAGUCACUGCAACCAAGGUUAUUGAGCCAAAAUCACCAGUUAUAUGUUAUUGCAAAAUCUUUAGCAAAUUUGCACACCAUACUUGUAUAUCAAAUAUUUGGACAGCCAAAUUUCAAAUAAAAGGUAGCUAAGCUCCCAAAAAUCCCUAAAUACCUGUCUGGAAAUCUUUGCACAAACCCCAGGAGUGUUGCCCUUGGCAAUAGUAUUCUCGAAAACACACUCCUGAGCCUGAGCCAACAUCAGUCUCUCCAGCAUUCCAACACACUCCACUGACACAUCCACAGAUGCUGAGCUACCCAUUGAUGCCUUCAUUGCCACAUUAUCCCUCAAAAAGGCAAAUGCACCAGCUGCUGCUAUAAAAGCAUGAGAUGCCUGCUUUCGCCCAUCAACCCCUGAUCGGUCAAAACUCAGCCCCAUUUGACUAUGGACUGCCCCCAAAUUAAACAACACUGCAGCUUUUUCUAAAUAAUAACCCAAAAAAAAAUUUUUGAUGGAAUGCCAAUUAGUAUGCUACAACUCGCAAGUAAAAUACAAAGCUUCUAUAGAAAAGUCAGAAAUGAGUAAGAUUAACUGAUGGACAAGUCUGCCAAAGACUCGUACCAACCUCCAGAAUCAGAAUAGCAUAACAUAUUCCUUCAAUUCUGCCUAAAAAAUUGUACCUUGCCCUAAAAUCCCAAUCAAAAAGUAAAAGAUAAAAUCAAUCUUUUCAAGAACACUUAACGCACUGUACUUUCUGUAUGCUCUGAUCAUACGAGAAACAAGAAGACCAGAAACAAUUUCAUUUUAUUGUACAGAUUAUCUAUAGUUAAUCCCCUCACAAGAACCAAAACUAAUAUAAAAAUAUGAAAACCUAAACAAAGUUUGGUACCCCUGUUUCCUAGCAAAUAAAGAUCAACAUAGAUUUCCCCAAGAGAAAAGGAGUAUAAAAUGUCAAUAUUUUGCCAAACUAAACCACACUACUGAGUCAUUGCAUCUUACACAGAACAUAUUGUAGCAUAGCGAAAUGCAAUCAAUCAAACAAGCAAAAAAUAUUUACCUAACUCAAAACAAUAAAGUACUAAAUGACACUACAGAAUACACCUCAAGCAUUGACGGAAUGUACCAUAGCAAAAUCGAACCAAUCCAAAACAAACGAAAAAAAAAUUGAAAUUUUACCUAAAUGAAUAUUUUGCUGGGCAGCUUUCUGUUUAUUUUUGAACGCAUCAAACCAAGUGAACGUGACCGUAUUAAUAUGGUCUUUAUCGGGAGAAAUAGGGAACCUCGACUCCACAGCGCAAAGAGCUCGAUAAUACUUCUGGAGAAGAUCACGCCGCGCCGGGAGAGAAUCGGCCGGAGUAGGGCCACGUUCUAUGUCGGUUCGAAGUUCCUUGAGGGUUUGGAGAUCGUCCUCCAAGUUCUGAGCCUCACGUUCGCCGUAAUUGAUCACUAUGUAGUUCCGCAACGGACGGUAGAGGUCUAAAGAGUUGGUCCUCUUCUCGUAUAUUGCUAGCAUGAUGUUUGUGGUUGCUGCAGCCGUUGACGACGACGGAGACGCCAUGAUCGGCAGUGGUGGGAUAAAUAUUAAGAAUUUCGAUUAAAUCCGGCUCCGCAAUUCUAUUUAUACUCUGAUUUUUCUGUAGAUAGAUUAAAACUGAUUGGGAAAACUGGUAGGAUUGAAGUCAAUGGGAAGGUGUGUAAAUUGGCCCCCGCGGGGUGUUUUGGGGCGUGUUGGAGGUGUUUUGCUUAGUUGGAAAGUAAAGGACAAAACCUUGGGGAAUUUGUGGGGCAAAAUUGAUAAAAGUGAUUAGGGGGCAAGGUUUUGUUCGACUAAGAGUUUAGGGGUUUUAGUGUAAUAUACUUGAUAACAAAAUUAAAAAAUGAAAGAGUUCUAAAUAUAAUUGCUGUUUUAACCUUUUAUUUUUACCAAUAAUUCUAUUUUAAUUUCUAUAUCUUCUACUAAUUGUUAACAUUACCAUGCUCACUUGUUGAAAAUAUAUCAAUUAGAACGCUUGUAGAAUGAUUUAAACUGAGUAGACAAAAUAGUCUACAUUAAUUUAUUGUAACAUAUACGACUUGAUUUGAAUUGUUUUUAUUAGGAAAAACUUUAAGAAAAAUAUUAUUACUGCACUUUUUUUUUUUAAAAAAAAAAGAGGUUCUAUGUAAUAAAAAGUUAAUUGUAAAACAUGCUAAAAGAUUUUUUUUUUUUGUCAACAAAGAUUGAAUAUUCAGUAUAUUUUAGAUGGAAAUUGAGAAUCAAAAAAAACUUAUUCUAUUUUAUACGUUAUUUAUAAAAUUAUAAGACGUCCUUCAAAAUCUUGAAUUAAUCAACAGUUAAAAAAAUAGUAUUUUAGAACAACAAAUAGUGGAAUGAACACUAAAAUAUUAGUCAAAAGAAAUUUACUAUUUGAAUCAUAACUCCUACGUCUUGGAAUCUCAACCUUAAUGCCUCGUUAAUUACGUGCAAAAUAGACAAAAAGAUGGGGAGGCAAAAUAGAACAACUCAGAAGAAUGAGGGCCAAAACAUUAGUUCACCAAGCUUCGGAGAAAAAUCCUAACCGGGUUCCGAGUAGUAACAUAACAUUAAUAUAACAUUGCAAGGCUGGCUGGCCGGGUUAGCAGUAGCAGAGGAAUCCGGUCCAUGAAUUAGAGAAACAGCAGAAAACCGCGUGGAGUAACCCCCACGCAUAUUCUUUCUUGUUCUCAGGUUCUAUAAAGAUCCGGUGAACCCCUAUUUUGUCGAACUCUCUAGAAAUCCUUUCAGAUUGGGCAGCAGCUGCUCAGAUUUCGAAGGUUGAGAUAACGCCGCUUUUCAAGAUUUCACAGCUAAAUUCAAAUCUUCUUGUUAGCCUUAGGUAGCCGUCUCAGAUCUCUCCUUCUUGCUGUUCAUCCUUUGUACAACUAACCAGGUAUGUGACGAAUUUUAGUUUUCGCCAGUUUUUCUAUCUUUGUAUCUGAUUGGAUUGAGUGUUUGUCUCUCGCUCCUAAAUGGGUUUUAAUUGUUAUUUUAUGGGUUUCUCUUAUUUUGUACUCAUUCAAUAUGCAUACGAAGAAAUUUUAGUGUUUAUGCCUAGGCCCUAGGGUUUGUUGCUGCUGUUUGAUUACUUAGUGUAGUGGCUAUACAACAAGGCUGGAUGGAUUUUGAGUAGAUGAAUUUUAGCUGGAAUAUUGAGUUCUUGAAGAUGAAAAGUAACAAGGCUGGAAAUAUUUAUAGCUAGGUGAAUUAAAUUUUCGAAGGUGGUUAUUAUGUUUCCUUUUUGGUUGUUAGAUUUAAUCGUGGCUGAAGUACAGUACUUAGUAUCCGGUUCAAAAUCUUUUUUUUUUUUUUUUAAAUUUGUGAAAAUUAGUUGCUGAGAUAUAAAGCUUCAUGUGAAUUAUGGAUUGGCUGCAGACUUCUUGGAAAAAAGGAUUGGAAGUGAAGAGACAAAUUUUAGUUGGGCAUUCAAGAUUGUGACUUUCUUAUAGUAUUAUAUUGUUAUAAGGUAAGAAACCCGACUCGGAUUUGUACAGUCUCUUUCUUUGCAUUCUUUUGUCAUGUUUAUAUAAUUUCUCUGCAUGUGUAGUAUUUUGUUUAUUACUGAGAAGCUGGAUUUGUAUUACUUUCUGCCAAAUUUCAUGAAAUUCUCUAUGAAUGUUAAAAAAAAACUGUAGUUUUUUUGGUGCCAAUGAAGCAAAUCAAUUGCUGCAGUUGUCAUGCCCUAUGUAAAUUUUGAACCUGGGAAAUGUUUGUUAAAGAGAAUCUCUUAUUUUCAUGUGUCUCAGAUGAUUGUUAUAGAGAAUCUCUUAUUUUCUUGUGUAAGAUACAGUCAACAAAAGUGUAGGACUUCAUGUGGUUGAUACUUGUUUAAUACCAAUAACAUUGAUGAUUAAAUAUUUGGCUUAAAUUAUGUACAAAUGCUUUCAACCAAUGUUGUGUUGGAAUAUACGUUGAAUUGGUUUCUGUUGUAACCCUCCAAUUCCUGUCGCUAAUAAGACUAUUAAAGCUUUCUAAGAAAAACAAUGAAAGUCUUUUUUCUGAAUGAGCUCACCAGUCUCUUUAUCAAUUAUGGUGGACCCUGCAGCUUUUUAGGGUGUGAAUUAAGUUGCCGAACAAUCUGCCAGGAAACCAGCCUCAUAAUUUGCGAAUGACAUGUUUAGGCGACUGAGUAUACAAUCUGUAUGAAUUAUUUGUUGUGUGCUCUCCAGAAAUGAUUAUGUCUUAUAGUGUCUUUUAACCCCACCUUGACGUGCUUCAGUUGAAAGGUUUUCUUGUUUCUUUCUUAAUUAUGUUUUUCUUAGUGCUCUGUUUAGAUUUUCUUUGCAAUAUACAUUGAAAGAAGUUUUUUCUUAAUAUCUGAGCUGUUCAAAAUGUAUUUAACUACCUCAUUUUGCUCCUACAAAGGGCGUUCUUCCUUUGUGCCGAGAAAACAUUGUAAUUUUUAUACCAAUUUUGCCUUCUAGAUUUCUGCACCUUCACUUCACCACGCGUUCCACUUUUAGCCUCCAAUUUUCCAUCUUAGAUGGUUCAGAAUCACUCAAAUCUUGUGUGCUGAAAAGAGAAUUCUCUGUUUGCUUCCAAAAACACCUAAAAGGUUGUGUAAGAAGAAGUUUGCACAUGGACAGCUUACUAAUUGCUUAAACCAGUAAAAUAACUUUCACUGUGCAGAAACUAGUCUUCGAUUGUAGAGUUUCUUUGAGGGGAGAAAGACAUAAAAACAAUCAAAGAUAUCUAUCAUAUAUCUGCCAGAGAAACAUACGGCUUUGCUAUGUUGUACUUCCAUUUGUCUUUUCUGAAACAAUCAAAGAUAUCUAUAAAUUUGCUUCUCAUGCUAGUUGUUGUUGAUCAUCUCUUUCUUGACUGAUUUCCUGGUGGAGGAACUAACAUUGUUUCUUUCUCUUUUUGAGAUGUACUUCUGGUCAUCAUCUCAUACCAAAAUGCAGGUAUUCAGUUGUAUUUUAUAUCAAAAUGGAUGCCAAGAAGUUUAUCCAGCUGGUCGAGGAGAAGAAGAAGCGGAUGAUGGAGAGGAAAGAAGCCCCUUUGAAAUGGGAGCAAAAAUUGGAAGCUGCAGCCAAGGCUAGAGCUGAUGCUGAAAAGGAGAGAAAGAUGAAGGCCACUAAGCACAAGAAAAGAUCUGUACCAGGUUCUGAAAGUGAUUGUAGCAGUGACAGCAGCAGUGAUGAAAGGAAGUCAGCUAAAAGGCCCCACAGGAAGCAUAGGAAGCAUAAUCACUCUGACUCAGGCGAUAAUGAGAAGAGGAGGGAUAAGAAAUCCAGACAUAAGUCGAAAAGGAGAUCCUCUGACUCUGGUGAUGAUAGCAGUGGAUGUGAUACUGAUUCACAAGAAGAGAGGAGGAGAAAGAAGCAGAGGCAGAAAAGGCGAAGGCAUCAUGAUUCAAGAUCAGAUUCUUCUGGUGCUGAUUACUCUGAUGAUGAAAGUGACAUUGAUAUGAGAAGAAGAAAUCGCAUAAAGAGUCACAAGCGCCAUCGGAGAUCUCAUUCUAGUGAUUCAGAAUCUGCAUCUGACGAUGACUAUCCAGGCAGAAAGAGAAACCGUGCAAGGCACCACAAACGUUCUAGACGAUCAGGUUCAAGUGAUUCAGAUUCAUCAAGCGAUGAUGACACUCCAAAGAGGAGCCGUCAUGCGAAACACCAUAAGCAUCAUCGUGGAACCCGUACUCAUGACUCGGUGUCCUCAGAUUCUGAAGAUCAUCGUCGUGACGGGAGUAGAUCUCUAGGGAAGUCAUCUGAUGACGAUUUUGGUAAAGUAGAAAAGCAGAAAAAGCAUCAUCAUGGACAUGGUCGUCACCACCACCAUCAUCAUCAUAACAAUCACAAUCGCAUCCACUCUGACGAAACGCCACUCAAUGAUCAGCAGGCUGGGAAAGCAACAGAAUCAAAUGGAAAAAAUACUCUGCGAGAGGCAAAUAUGGACAAUAGCCAUGAUAAAGCUGUUGAACAGCAAACUGCUUAAUGGUCCGAGUGUGCCUUCCAAUGGAUUCAUGUGCGCUGUUUCUGUGUAGGUAACUUAGGGUUUUCUGGUUGGUGUUGCUGGAGGCUUGGAAUCUGGAAUUUGUCAAAGAUUAUAUGUUGAACUGCUGCAGCAAAAACCUUUCUGAUUGACAUUUGAAUUUACUGAUUCCGUAUAAAUAUGUAACAGCUUAUCAGCAAUUUAUUCCCUCUCUUUGCUGUGUGGAACAUUUAUUUUAACAAACUGUAAUGGAUGCGUUUAGAUUGAACAAUCAACCAUCUCAUGCGAAUGUCUAGUUGCUGUUUGGUUGGCAUGCCUUGUAUCUUCAUUGAUCAGGCCUACAUUUCUUAACAUGUUCAAAAUCUUUAUUCAUUCAUGUUUAAUAAAAUCUCAAAUGAUACAAAUUUCUUUCGUAUUCCGUGAUCAACGUGACAUGAAUUAGCUAAACCUCCAUACAGGUCUGGGAUGUUUGAGCAUAAAAUUAAUUACUAAUUGCAAACCCCACCAGGUUCGUUGCAGUGUGGUUGAGGAGGUAUGAAUUUUGAAGGGUAUCAAGAGACGGACCAAUAGUUUUUUUUUUUUUGAACUCAGAGACGGACCAAUAGUUAAAAGCUAUAAAAUACAUGAAAGUAAUCACUCACUAGAAAGCAUCCUAGAAGCGUAACAGUAACUACACACUAACUGUUCCUAUCCCUAAACAACAUGUCUAUGCAAAGAUAAUAAUGAUUUGGAUAACAUUUUUGUCUUAAUCAUCUGAUUACCUGUCACAUGCAGGGCUAAGCUAAUGAUAUGCCAUUGGAACUUGAAAGGAUUCAGCAUAAUUAAAGAUAAAUAUGACAUUAAUGUCAAUCUAAUGCAGAGUCUACAAAUUCAAACUGGUGCCGGGGCAUACGAUGAAGAAUAGGAUGAUGACAAUUUUGUGGAUGGAACAUGGAUUGAAAAUUUCGGUUUCAAGACAAACUGAGAAUUCAAGGGACAAAUAAAAUCAAAUGUAAAUUUUGUUCAUUUUUUUUCUCUUUAUAGCUAUACAAAUUCAACAGAGAGCAGGUCCAAAUUGCGAGUACAAAAUUGUCAUACCAUCGUGACUUGAAUAGAAACUAUUAGUGAUCGAAUACGAUUAACAAACCACUGAGCCUAGCUCCAUGGCCAUCAAGGAGUGACUCAAGUCCUUCCUUGGGCUGUAGAUGGCGGGUUCAAACCCCACCUGUAGUAAAAAAAAUCCAUGGCUCCAUCUUUGGUCUAGUCAGAUUUGCACACCUACUAGUUCCUAACACACAAGCCUCCUUAGGCUCACUCUUCCUAUAGAUUAAGAUAGAAUAACAAAAUAGUACUCCCUCUCUCCUAUUUUGAUAGUUUUAGUUUUUUUUUAAAUAGUUUAAAAAUUUAAUUAACUUUAUCUAAAGAGUGCAUCUAGUUUAUUAUUUCCUAAGAUACCCCUUACAUUAACAUUAAUAGUAUAACUAAACAUUAUACCUUUACAUUAAUGGUAAUGGUAACAACAAUAUUGAUGAAAAAUUGCACCAUUCAAGGCAUGAAUCGAAACAAUUAAUGAAUAAAGUAGGUUAUAUUCACUGAUAAUAAAGUACAUUAAAUAAGGACAUUUUAGAGAGGUUAAAAGUUAACUAUAUUUUUUUAACUGGAAAGUAGAAUAUAAUUUGGGACGGAUAAAAAAAGGAAAACAAGAAUAUCAAAAUGGAAAGGAGAGAAUAGUAUUUUGACAAAUUCUCAUCAAGGGUGUUGCGUGUCAUUAUCAGCAACAAUUAGAACUCAAUUUUAACUCACUAAUUGUAUAUUAUGUAGGCAAAAGUAUAAGGUUCUUUGAACUCGACUUAUUUUUAACUGGAAAGUAGAAUAUAAUUUGAGACGGAUAAAAAAAGGAAAACAAGAAUAUCAAAAUGGAAAGGAGAGAAUAGUAUUUUGACAAAUUCUCAUCAAGGGUGUUGCGUGUCAUUAUCAGCAACAAUUAAAACUCAAUUUUAACUCACGAAUUGUAUAUUAUGUAGGCAAAAGUAUAAGGUUCUUUGAACUCGACUUAUUUUUAACAAGUAAUGGAGGCACAAACAAUUAGUAAGACCUUAGUUAUACAAGGCCACUUUUACAAAAAGCCGAAGUUAACAUGCUUACUAGCAGUGCAUGUUUCACCUCCUUCUUUUGGAUUGGACUAUUUAACACUGGAAGUAAGGACAGCUCUGUUUGAAAAGGGAAAACUAAAAUAAGUAGGAAAAAAGAAUAUAUAAUUAAGGUAUUUCUCAACACAUUUAAUAUUCAUAUAACCUACUAUAUAUGUACACAUAUUAACAAUUAUUAUCUUCUCUUGCAUUUUUAUACUUUUCCUAGUUAAUGUUAUCUGCCCUCCCUUUGUAUUUAUUUACUUUUCUUAAUUAAUCUUAUAUUUUAAAAAAAUUACACCUAUUAUGUAUCUUAACAGUUGCCCAAUAGACAAACCCUAUAAUGAACUUCAUUUACCUUAAAAAGGAAAGCAGAUUUGUGAUUAAAUAACAGGAGGAUUUAAAUAACGAGAGGAAAAAAUUGGCCCAUCUAUUAGAAGUUUCAUCUUGGACCUAGUAUCCAUUUGGACAAACAAAACCCCACUUUAUAUUCCCCCUUGGACGUUCAAAUGGAGCUCUCUUACUGGACCAGUCCAAAAUAAAGUUUCUCGACAAUUAUCUUAUAGUGGCAAAAAUAUUAAGUUACACACUCAGAAUCCUAUAUCUUUCCACCAGCUCUUGGGCUGGUGGCCACCACCAAGCCCUUAAGGUUUUGGUGGGGUGGGAGGCAAGGGUUCAAACCUUGCUUCCCACCAAAAUGCCACCCUUGUGGCUUGCUUCAAAUCCAGACGGGUGCGUAGUGCACCCGUCUGGUCCGGUGGUGGUUCUGUCCCCAUCGGUCCCCAUAGGUUCAGUUGAGUCUCCCCGUAGAUAGAGUAGGAGUAGGAGUAGGGUUGACAAUUGACAAAAAAAAAGAAAAAAAGAAAAGGUCUUGAGUCAAUUCAAUCCGUAGAGAGAGGAAGAUGGCAGAACUCCCAAUUGAGAUAGUGACCGACGUACUAUCAAGGCUUCCUUUGAAAGCCCUCUUCAAAUGCAAGUGUGUCUGCAAGACAUGGUGCAACUUACUAUCGGAUUCUUAGUUCGUGAAAUUGUGGGAAACUAAGUGGAGAAAACUCCGUUUCUUUUACGUACAAGAUCUAGCAUGUUCCCGUGAUGGAAGUCGCUGUACCCUCCAAUUUACAUCCGCAGAUGAAGAAGGCCGUAGCAUUGUGCAAGAAUUCACCAAGGAAGGAAAAUAUUGCAGGGGUGGUGGAUUGUACAUCAUGUUAGCCCCUUGCAACGGCCUUGUAUGUAUUUUCCAAACACCCUUAUAUCGGGAAACUAGGCGUAUUUAUCUAUGCAACCCUAUAACUCACCAAUUUGUAACGCUCCCAGAGGCCUCCCCACAAUCAUGGGCCCGUGCAAUUGGUUUUGGACAUGUGCCCUCUACGGGAGAGUACAAAGUUGCGAGAAUGUUUACUGCCGAAUUUGUGACUGGGGACGAUAUGGACAGUGAUUUCAGUUGUGAAAUUUUUAGCAUUAGACGGGAAGCCAAUUGUUAUUCAUCAUCAGGUUCUUGGAGAGUCAUAAAUCAAUCCAAAUGCCCAUAUCCAAUUCGUAAUAGCGCUGUUUUUGUUAAUGGACGUCUUCACUGGGUAGUCAAUACUGAAUGUCCUUUUCCACCAGAUCAUGAUAAUGCCAUAAUUUUCUUCGAUUUGGCUAGUGAAACUUUUGGGUAUGUCCCCCAUCCUCCGGAUUACGAGCAUGAACAAGAAAGUUCCAUUUAUGUGUUGGAUUUGGCAGGUAACCUUAGCCUACUUAAUUUUGAAAAGCAUGAAAAUCUGAUCCGACUAUGGAUGCUUGAUGAUUAUGACAAAGGCAUCUGGACCGAAACGCAUAACAUCAUGUUAGACCCUCUGACUAGGGAUGACGGUAUCAGCUUUAAAUUUAUGGUGGGCAGGGAAUUAUUGAUGGCACCUUGGCAUUGUAAAUACAGACUCUACUACAACAUUGACACGCGAACUUUUAGAAGAGUUGAAAAGCCUGAGCCUGCAGGAUCUCAUGGGUGGACUUUUAGAUACUACUGGGAAAGCUAUGAAGAUCUGAUGGAAAAUCACAAAGUACUAGCAUUAUGUUAGGAAUCUUGGUAUUCUUUUCGCUUUUUUUUCCCUAGUUUAUCUACUUUGGUUGUUCUUUUUUUUUUUUCCUCCAUUAUGAGGAUAGCAAUACACUUUUGCCAUGCUUAAUAUAUAUAUUAAUGCUUGUGUUCAUAAAUGUUUUUGCCAAUUUACUUAAAGAUCAUAGAGACAUGAUCAGUUGAGUUUUCUAAUUAGCCGCAUCAUAGAUGAAUUGCAUAUAAUCCCUUAUGAUUUUUCAUGUAUCCGCAUCACACCCUCCCCUCUCCCUUUCAAGAUUUCAGAAUGACUACAUAACUCCCUAUGAUUUUGGCACACCAAAAAUUUGUGUGAUGGAAUCAUAAUAUCUACUUAACCUUUUUUUUUUGAUAAAUUGGGGGGGGGGUUUGAAUUCAGAAUUUCUUAUUUAUAAUCUCUCCUACCUUACUACUCAAUCCAACUCUUUCCCCUUCCCCCCAGUUAUUAAUAGUAAUCAAUAACAAAUAAAUAAAUCAACUAACAUUGUUGUUUAUAUAUAUAUAUUUUUUUAGCUGCAAAACAACUUGUUAACUUUUCUUUCUUUCAUCAUUUAUAUCUUCGAAAUUAGACCCCUUUAUUUGUGUGACCCUAUAAUUGGUUUUGGAUAUGUAUUCCCACAGGAGAGCAUGAAGUGGUGACAAUAUUACUACAAAAUCUGCGUAUGGAGACGAUGUCAAAGAUGAUUUAGGUUGUGAAAUCUUCGACAUUUGACAUGAAGGUGAUAAUUAUUCACCAUGAGAUUCUUGAAGAGUGAUUAAGGAAUCCCCGUGCCUGUAUCCCAUUUGAAAUUACGCUGUUUUUGCUGAUGGAUGUCUUCAUCGGGUAAUCAAUAGCGAGUGUCCUUCUCCACACCUUGAUAAUAUGUCCUCUGGUUUGGCAAGUGAGACUUUUGGCUAUUUCCCUCGUCUAUCAGAUUACGAGCAUGAAAACUUAAUACCCUUUAUUCUGCUGGAUUUUGGGAGGUUGGUUGAGCCUAAUUAAUUGCGAAAGUGCGGAUCAUCUGAUCCAACUAUAUAUGGAUGCUUAAAAAUUAUGAGAAGGGCAUUUGGACCAAAACACAUAACAUCAUGUUAGAGCCGAGGGAUAAACUUAUAAUUCCUAGAUUUAUGGUGGGCAGGGAAUUAUUAAGGGCGCCCCGUGAUGAUUCCAGUAGACUCUACUACAAUAUUCACACACGAACUUUUUGAUAACAAUAAAACUAAUUCAGGAAAAUAUCUAAAUGUAGGGAAUAGUGAAUGUCUGUGUGUGCAUUCAUAUAACAAAUUAGGUGCGAUUGAGGCUUCUUAACAGGCAAAUAAUCCACGCAAUAUCGAUAGUUUAAUUCUCCAAUAAAAUUAGCUGUUGAUCCAAACCAUUUGGAGCUGAUAAUUCAACAUAGAGUUGAUGUUUAUUUAAUAGAUUCUAGCAUCUUAUUCAACAUAGAGGUUCAUUUGCCCUUCUGGCUACCAUGUGAACCUGAGAAGUAGCCUUGAGUGAUUGUUCCUAUAGACAAUAGCCGAUAUACCUCAAUGCUUCCUUUAAAGAUUAAAGGUCCCCUUGAAAUGCAAGUGAGUCUCCAAAACGUGGUUCAACUUAUUUUGUGGAUUCUUGGCUGGUGGAAUCGCAAAAACAAAUUAGUUUUCAUUUAUUUAUUUAUUUAUUUUAUGUACCAGAUGGAGCAUAACUUUAAUUGGUCUUUAAGCUUCCUAAGUAUUGGCGAAAUAAUACAUCGGCCAAUUAGCUCUGAUACAUCAUAAGCCUUCUGUACGGUUUAUCAUGACAUGACCGAGAAAAGAUAUUACGCUAUGGUUUAGAAUUUUAUGCAAACUCAAGAAAAUCAAGGAAAUACUUAAACCAAAAAAUUAUUUGAAACGAGAAAUAAAUCAAUACUUCAAUGCAUUGUUCCCUUAUUGGUCCAAAUUUUAGAGUUGACCACUAGAUAGACAGCCAAUGUUUUUAUCUUUCUUUAGAUAGCGAACAUCCCUUCUUCAUUUGCUGGCCUUCUCCUUAGCAUGCAGAUCAGAAAAGUAGCCUUUAGGAUCGUUCUCAAAGCCCGUCCUUGAUGUAUAUGCUCCAUCACCACCAGGAGCCUUCAUCAGAUCAUUGGUGCCACCUUUGUUAGUCCCACCACCAGCGCCUGCUGCACCUGCUCCAGUUUCUUUGCCGCCACCACCAGCUCGGGCAACUGGUCCAGUUUCUUUGCUGCCACUUUUGUUAUCCAUCUCAAAUGCCCUUCAAUCUUAAUCGCUAAAAGAAUAGUGGUAGUAGUAGCAGAUAAUAAUUUUGAUGCUGAUGUAUACUUUGGUUAGAAGAUGAGGGGGGUUUAUAUAGGCAUAAUUUGAUUAGGAUGGAUUUAAUGGCUGCACUUGAAAUGAUAAAUUUUUCUUGUGAAUUUAACAGUCAAAUGCAUGACUGCAUGGGGAGACUACUUUGACUACACUGAUUUUUUAGCGUAUGACAUUCAAUUCAAGUAAUUUGUGCCCAGUUUUCAAGUUAUUGGGGGUCAUAACGAAACCUCAGAAUUAUGAACGCCAUUUCCUUGUAGUUUUGUGUUCAAAUUAAGGAACUUAUAUACUCCCUCUGUUCCAUUUUGAUAGUUCUAAUUUUUUUUCACACCGUUUAAAAAAAAGUAGUUAACCCUUGCUAUUUUUGAUACUCUAAUAAUAUGCCACUAAACACAUAGUGCAAAUCUCUUGUACCAUACGUUUAUUUAUUUUAGUGGGAAUGGUACAGAAGUAAUGGAAGAUUGUUUUCAACCAUGCAAUAUUUACCUUCCUUGGAAAAUUCUUGGCAUAAUUUCAGAAACCUCCCUUGAGUUUUUGACAAUUUCACUUAGCUCCCCCGAGAUUUCAAUAAUUACAUCGACCUCCCUUGGUCCAAUCAAAUGACUAAAAUGUCCUCCACUUAAUAGUUAAUUUACAAAGGGACAUUUAAAACUGAAAAAUAUUUCUUAUUAUUCUACUUGCCAUUUUCUAAUCUCAAAAAACAAUCUCCAUCAAUUUUCUAAUUUUCGUCCCUUUCUCUCUCCCUCGCUUCCUCUAUUAUAUUCUUCUCUCUUCUUCUCCUACAACUGCUUUUCACUCCCACCAAAUAUCGUGCGUCAUUGUUACCAACCAUACCACUAUCAAUUUUUUACCAUCUACAAAAUUUAUCUGUAUUUUUUGUUUUCCUGUCUCUUUCUUACUAUAAAAAUUUUAGACCCUUUAUUUUUUUCCCUAUUGUUUUACUCCUUACAAAUGUUAGCCAAUUGAAGUUACCAAAUUAACAAGCUGCAGAUUGUAGAUUUAAUUGUCAAACUAGGGGAAGAUGAAAAAUGUAGCAGUGAUAUAGGAAAAAAAAUGAAAUUGAGAGUUGGAACAUAAAAAGAUGACUAUUAUAUUUGUUAAUCAAAAAAAGUCUAACAAUUACUCAUUGGUUCUCUCUUUUAUUUACUUAUUGAUUGUGAUUUUACUAUAAAGGUAGAAUUUUGUCUCUAUUUUCUAAGAGUGUUAGAGCAACGAUGAAUUAUAUAUUUAGGGACAUGGGGUCAUUUCUUAGUUUAAUAUUGGUAGUGGUGGUGGUGAGUUGCAUUAGGCAAAAAUUAGCAAGUAAUGAAUUUUGAGAUGAGUUGGAGUCGCUGGACUUUGUUUGUUUUAGUAAGUAUGUGUUGUACAAGAAAUUAAAGAUUAAAACAUUGUUUUAUUUCGUCUUAUUCUCUGAAGAAGGGUAUUUUAAGAUAGUUGAAAAAAAUUAUAAACUAUUGAGUCUAUAUUGUUACAUAAACCUUAAAAGCAAGGGAGGUAUGUGUAAUUUUUAAAAAUUGAGGGGAGCUCUUCGUAAUUGCUAGAAAUCUCAAGGGAGGUUACUGGAGGGUUGAAAAGCCUGAGCCUGUAGCAUGUGUUGCUGGGAAAGCUAUGAAGAUCUGAUGAAAAAUUACAAAGUAUUGGCACUAUGUUAGAACUCUUGGUGGAUUUUUGGUUUAUUUUUCCAGUUUAUGGACUUGGAUUUUACUAUUAAGAUAGUUUCAAGUGUUAAUUUUUUUACAAUAAUAAAACUAAUUCAGGAAAAUAUUAAAAUACAGAGGAUAACAAAAGUGAGUGUAUGCAUACAUAUGUCAAGUUAGAUGCGAUUUAGGUUUCUUAACAUUAUAAAUCCUACUAAAUUUUGCAUAUUUCUCUGUUUUUUUUUUAAAGAUAAGUUAUGCACUUUUGCUAUGUUUAGAAUAUUCUAAUUCUUUCCUUCCUAAUUUUUUCCCUACAUAUGUACAUAUAAUUAAAUCUUCACAGCUUGACUUCUCUAGUAAAACAAUAUUAAUUUUUCCAAAUUUGAGAUUAUAUUAUUGUAUAUUUUGUAACAGCAUAGUAACAUCUGGAACGGUAGAUUGGUGAUUGAAAGAGUAAUUUGAGCAUCUGACUAAGUUGGAAAGGAAAAAAGUUAGUCUUUAAAUUUUUUUCCUUUUUGUAAAUAUUGCUAUUUUUCAAUAUAAAUCUUGGUAAAUAUGUUUACAAAUCAAAGGAUGUUCAAGCAAAGGAAAAUAAUGAAGAGUUGACAAUUUUACUUCUAUAAUUCCAGUGGCAUCUAUCGUUUCACAGCGUCUCAUCAGCCUCUUUUAAUUGCAACAACCAGGAAAGUUUAAUAUUAUGUACACAAUCUCUCAAUUCUCAAUCAGAGAAGCCUCAUGUAUCCAUGAAAUGGAGGUUCAUAAGCUCGACUUGUACGAAAAACGAAGAAGAAGGAAAAAAAAAGGAAGAAGAAGAAGAAGAAAUUAGACACAAACGUAAUAAUUUUGCAUGUGAUGCCCAGAAAAACAACUUUCUGUGCCUAAAUGUAUGGAAAAUCUGUAUAUUUUCCUUCCCAUGAAAUACUAGUGUCAAACUUAGGAUGUUAUUUUCUAAGAAACAAUUUUUAUAUUUUCCGUGACCACAUUUCUUAAUCAUCUUUUUAUCUCACAUACAUCAAAUUAUUACAAUAUAUAUAUAUUUAAAAAAACUUCAAAAAAUAGCGAUCCAAGUGGAAACUAAAAGCCAAGCUUUUUAAUGUGGACAAAUGAAGUUGAAGAUCAAUUGGGAGCAUCCAAUAUUGCUAUACUAUCUGAAAAAAAUUGUUACAUCAAGUCAAACAAAGGAAGCUGCAUUCUCUAAUGAUCGAGAAUUAAGCAACAUCCUUUGUAUGUCAAGUACAAGACUAGAAUUUAGAAACAUGAGGGAAAAAAAAAGCAUCUAAUUUCUUUUCUUAAUCCAUGGCUAAUAGACUAAUGGUGAUGGGCUUGAUAAUGACCCCCUACAUAAUAUGACAAAUUGGACCCAAGCUCACAAUUAUUGAUACUACAAUGAUUCAUCAUCAUAUUAGUUUUUCACAUUAUGACAAUGAUGUUUGUUGCUUACACUAUUCUCGUUUCGUCUUUUAUCUUGUAAAUUUCUACAUUUGUUUAAGCCGUUCGAUUUCUUACCCCCCAGCAAGUCUAGUUGCCCAACAAUACCAUCUAACAAGGCAAGCAACGCCAAUGCCCUUAAAACUAUUUCUUCUAUGACAUUAAAAGUUAUUUUGGGGUGAAAUAAAACUCUUAUUGGGUAUUUUAAAUUUUUUCUUUUUUUUUUGUACAUGUCAAGAUUUUUAAUUCGGGAUGAAUCUAAAAAAAAAAAAGAGCAAAAGUUCUUUCCCAAAUUAAAAAUUUUUGUCAGCAACUGUAUUUAUCUAACACAAAUUAUCUCUUAUUGGAAAUACUAAACAACGUAUAUUUAAACAACGUGGACAUCAUUUUGCCAGAGAGAGAGAGAGAGUGUGUGUGUGUGUGUGUUCAAUUUUGGUUUUUUUUUUCCUCCUUUGUUUUUCUUUUCUUUAUGAGAAACUAAUAAAGAAGAGAAGACGAAGUGAUCUUCAGCUCUGUAUGGAUUUUUUUCGCUUUCUGUUACAUUUCUUUUUCCAUGUCCUCUAAGCAGUUUUCUUUCACUUUCUGUUACAUCUCUUUUUCCAUGUCCUCUAAGAAAAAGCUGCUUCUUCUUCUUCAAUAUAAUUAACGUCUUUUUGGGUCCAAGCAGGGGCAGCAAACUAGUAAAGUUUUCCAAGCCAAUAUAUUUCUGUCUCCUUUGGUCACAGGGAGUGGUCCAAUACCGACCUCAUGAACAAAUAAAAUGGCCAAUUUGGGACUUGUAAGGCAAGAUUAGCGGCUGUCAUGACAAUGAUCCUCAACAAUGAAAGCUUUAAGACCCCUUUUUUAUUUUUUAAUAAUCUGUGCGAAUUAUUAUUUCUCAUGAAUCCAAAUUUGUGAUCUUCUUCAUUUAUUAUUUUUUUUUUUUUUUUGCAUUCUUUGAAGAAUAAUACAUAACUCCAAACACUGUAAACAGUUAUAUAUAGAGCCUUAAUAUAUAAACCAAAAGACAAAAUCACCUAACAAUUGCAAAUUUUUCCUGGCAGGUAUAUGAGGUAUGCCACUUUCAAAAUUGUUAUAUUUUUUUCAUUAUUUGUUGUUUAAUUUCUGUCAUUAAUCACAUUAUCUUGUUGAUCACAUAAUUAAUACGUUAAUCUACUCUAUCAAUGUGGUAAAAAUUAACUAUGUGUAAAAGUGUUUCUUUUGUCAGCCUUUCAUUUCCCAUUUGGUGAAUCCACCAAAUCCCCAAAAGACCAUUUCAUCGCUCUAUGAUUUUUCCCUUAUCUUUCUAUGCCUAGUUUACAAAAAUAAAUGACCGGAAAAACAUAGCUAUACAUAUUCUACCUAUAGUUUAGCCUGAAAAAGAACCCAAAAAAGGGAAAAAAAACUAUUUCAAAGGUCCAAAGCAAUAAUUUGCGGUUGAUUUAUAUGAUCAUAUUUCCAAAUGGAAGCUAAGAAAAGCUCAAUUCUGUUUUCCUGAAUACCGGCAAGUCAUAUGACUUUUCUAUCAAUAGAAAUAAGGUCUCCAGCUCAUAAAUGAUAUCAAUUUCAAAGGAAAUUAAAUGUUGACCGAUGGAUUGGUAGAGUAAUUUUGUAACAAAUUGGCAAAAAUAAAAAGAAUCCACGCAAUCUUUCCUUUUCUAAACAUUUAAUUCUUUUUACUAAAUGCAUUUUCAAGUCCUUCGAUUGAAAGUUCAAACCAAUUUCAUUUUCACGACUGUACCCAAUUUCCCAGCAGCUCCUAGGAAGCUGCCUCCACUGCUUCUGUGGUACUAAUUUCCUGACUCAGUCAGGCCCAUCAAUUUAUACCAAAAUUAAUAUUCAUGCAAAUAGAAAAAAAAUAAAAAAAAAGGGCUAGAAAAACAAUUUUUUUAUCCAACAAAAAAGAAAAGAAAAGAAAAACUAAUAUCACUACUGUUCUGAGAUUCAAACGUUAAUAUACAAGCAACAGCCUUAUCUGGAAAAAACAGGCUCUUCUGUGAUUGUAUCCAACAAAGGUUUCCUUGAUUUGCACGAUGCUAAUCUAAAUCUAUAUUCCAUAUCCUUAAACCCUUCAAUCUCCUCCAAAUUCAACCUCGACCGCCCAACUUCUUGAUCAUCAUCUCUUGUCACCGCGGCGGCCGCCACCUCAGGUUCAACUUUGCCACCGGCUAUCCGCCUCGCAGCAGUGUUCGCCGCCAUCAAAACCACCGCCAUAUCAGCUGCAGUGACGAUGGAAUUCACGCGUUUCAUCUGAAACAUGAUAUAAACGUUGCCAAACUCCAAAUCUUCAUCGGCAGAAAGGGCGGAAAAUCUUUUUCCAAUGUUCAAGGACUUAGAGUUCACCAAGAAGUAGUUUGGACAUUCUAGCAUGAGUUCUGCUGCCUUCACCAGUUGCCGGAACUGCCGUACUUCACCGCCUGGGAGAAUAACCCUGGCGGCCCUGGUGGUUUUCAUCAACGGAGUCGGAAGAGUGCUGCAUGACAUCAAGUUUCCCAUGAUGGAAGGGGGGAGAGAGAGAGAGAGAGAGAAAGGUGUUUGAAGUGCUGUUUAGUGCGUGUCUAUGUGUGAACCGGUGGAAUUGCUUUGCUAUUUAAAGAGCACAACUAUUGCGCGUGGAGGCUAUAAUUUACUACUAAUAAUUAUGUGUGGGUUGGAGUAACACAAAUAUCAAUUUUCAAAUUAAGCAAUUAAUAGUCUAGAAAUCCAAUUAUAGGAAAUUUUUUGACUUUCCUUCUUCUUUCUUUUUUUUAAAUUUCCAAAACCUAUUCCCUCAAUUUGGAGAAUCGUUUAUUGUUUAUUAAUUUUUUUGUGGGGAGGGGGGGGGGGGGAGGGAUAAAUGGCAAUGUGAAUUUAAAAAAGUGGUUCAAGAUUUUUUAAAAAGAAAAUCAGAUAGCAACCUUAUCCAAAUACAGUUAGUAGAGUAUAUGUUAGGCUCAAGAGAAUAUAAGCAAAUCACACGCACUAAAACUUUCAUUUAAGGUGGGAAAUGGAAAAUUAAUUCAUUUCAAUAAGAUAAAACUAUAUAUAUAAGCAAUAAUAUCCACAAAUUACAUCCUAUUGAUUAGGAUAAGAUAUUUUUUUGCUUGUGAUAAGAUUUUAAAGAAAUUUAAAAUGUAACAACGAUAUGUCCUACAAAAGUUCAAUGUGAAAUGAUGAGGAAAUUGUAUAGAAAUGACUCAUCCUAGGGAUGUUUGAGCUUGAACCCGGAUGACAAGGACAUAUAAUUAUAGUUAAGGGAUCCUUAAUAGGAGUUAGGAUCUAGCCACCCUAGUACUAGAAAUAGCUAAGGGCAACAAAUUCGAUUACUAUUUGGCAAGGACAGAGCUCUAACGCAGAAGUCCAGAACAGAGACUUUUGCGGCUGGGUUUGACUAGGGUGUCCGCGUUGGGGGCGAAAUUUGUGGAAAAGAUGAAGGAAAGUUAUAGGAAUUAGUUUCGUAGUUUUGAGUCAUUGGUGUCACGAGUCCUUUGGCAUUGAUGCGUGUGGGGACUGCGACCCCGUGGGAAAAUAUGGAACUUUGGCUUUGUGAACCGAAUCCGAAUGCUCAGUCUUUGGAAGCUAGUACUCAAGUUUAGAACCAGAACUGUCUAUCAACUAUGAUCUAAUUUCUUUACCUAGCAAAACAAACAAACAAACAAACAAACAUCUUGGUUUGGUUUAUUCUUUUGUUUUCUUUAUGUGUUUCCUUGAGAAUAACCAAUUUAUCUGCAGAUUUUUGUGGUGUACAAUGUGCAAGCUUGAUGUAUUAUUAUUGGGCUCAGAGGGGAUUACUCUUUGCCAGCUUUUAAUUUACAUGAUAUGCUCUCAAAGUUUUGAGGAUUGUUGGUUAGAAAUUACUAGUAUUUAAGAUAUAUGGAUUAAUUUUUGUUAUACAUUAUCACUUUAUAGGUAAAAGUUAUUUCUAGUGUAAUAAAACAUGAGUAUACUAAGGAAGCUAGUUAAGUUUAGUACAUGUCUAUUGUGAUUAUUUACAUCAUUUCACGCAUACGGGCUCAGGUAUAAGUUAAAUAUACUAAAAAGUACUAAUCAGACACGCCCGUUAAUAAAAUUCUUUUUUUUUUUAAGGAAGAGAAAAUAUGGUAGAUUAUGAGAUAAUAUUUUGCAACCUAACCGCUUUUGAAAAUUGAAACACUACCAAAUCAUCCCUAUGGCCUGCCUAAUCUGCGGAUUACUUUUGUGUUGCGGUCGAAAUUGCAAGUAACUUUUCUUUUUAUUAGUGCAGUAGAUUAAAAAACAUUGAGAGUGUCAACUUCGUGGUAUUGCUUUCCAACAGCCACCCAUGCGAUUGCCCUUUUAAAUUCUUGGCCACCUAGACUUUCCACGCGAUUUAGUGGUCCUUUAGGCUGCGGAAAAUGAUUUUCCAUCAAAUCAUUUCUUGACAACUUACAAGGUAACUGCAAAUCAUGCAUUAUUGAAGGCUUAUGUGGUCAGGCUAUGAUUACUUUCAUUUGACUUAAGCGUUAUGUUUAGUUCUUGCUGUUGAUACAAUUUUAGCUUUGCUGUCACGUUCUAGUUCAACAAGGGAGAUAAUUCACUAACCUUUCGGCACAGCUUCAUUUUCCCAUGGCCUAGUUUUGAUGUAUGAUGGGGUAGGGCAAGAACCAAAGUUUCAGCUUUACUCUUUUGCCUGGAGCAUUAGGAACUCUAGUUACAUAAGUGGUCACUCUUUAAAAUAUAUAUAUAUAUAUAUAUUCAAAAAAUUGUAAGACAGGUUGAAAAGCAAAAUUAUCAAACCACAAAAUCCUGCAUGCCCUUGCAUUUUUUUUUUUUUCACAAUAUCAAGAAAAUGCAGUGCAGUUGCAUAUGUGAAACUUCGGGAGUUAAUCCGCUAUCAAAGGCGUGGUUGCCGUCACUGUUUUGAUUGAAUUAAUAAGGGGCGUUCCCUAACUGAGUAAAUUAAGAUUAAACAUCAUUUAAUGUUCAACAGUGAUUUGGACCAACCAACUUCUAGUGAUUUUCUAAUUAGUAGCGUCUACGGCAUCUCAAUUUAAAAGUCAAGGGGAAUUUACUUCGCGAUCUACAAGUAAUACACUGGAUUCCAUAAAAAAACCGACAAGAGGAAAAACACGGAGAGAGAGAGAGGGUAUAAUUGCUUUGUUGGUAUGCUUAUUUCACCUUUUAAUUUAUCAUUUGAAUAUACACUCACCCCAUUUAUUGAGACACUCGUAAGGUUUAAAUUUACUUCAUUGUGGGGGAAAAAAAAACUAAAGGUGUGUUUAAUAAAAUUGAAAUAUAAAAAUAUGAAUUUUGAAAUCUGAAUCUAUUUAAGUUAUUGAUUUUUUAAAAAAUUUUUUAUUGAAGUUACUGAAUUGUUAUUUAAGCGCAUUCUGCAUUAAGUGAUAAAUAAUUUAUUUAUCACUUAUUUUUUUUAGAGUAAGUUUUGUCUGAGCAAUUCAAAUUCACUUAAUUGAUUAAAAUGUUCUAUUUUUCAUCACGAAACACGUUUGAACAUGAUAAGAUCUUAAUUCUUUAAAUUUAAUUUAACUGCUGAAUUGAAUUAUCCAACAGGCCUAACAGGACAUGUAAAACUUAUGUUAACGAGAUUUUUUUUUUACUAAACACCUAUUGGAUAAACCUACACAAUAGAUCAUUACAGAUUUCUAAGCCAGAUAAGAGGAGAAAAGAAAAAGUGAAAGCCGACAUCUACUUAAGAUUCCUUGAAUGCAGAAGAAAAAAUGGUAUCAGGAUUAAUUAUCCACUUGGGGAUUCCGUACUACACUGAUGAUCAUCUUGCUGUCACCAAACUCCGUGUUAAUAUGUCGACUGAUUCACACAAUUCUUUGGAGAAAUUGACUCCAUCCUAGUAAACAAUUGCAAUAAGACUGUAUAUGCAGGAUACGUUUAUCAAGUCAACCAAUUGACUAGUAUCAGUUUAUCAUAAUUAGCUAGCCAACCGACGGCUUUUGAAGAGAUCCCCAUGUGGGAUUAAAAGUUCAUUAGCCUUUUAUUUAUUUAUUUUUUUUUAGUUUUAUGUUAAGAGCUGAUAUAUUAUGAAUUAAUUAACAAGGACCAGAUGACGGCCUUGUCGGUUUGUAGAUUGCAGUUCCAAUUACCCACAAUUUAAGAUUCAUUUCUUACUUUUUUUUUUCAAUUUAUUUAUUCAAAACUCGAAGAUUCAAAACAAUCAAGAUUGCAUAAAAUUAUGCGAUUGAAUAUUGACCUAACAUUUUUUUCUUCUUCUUCUUUUCUUUGUUAUUUAUUCUUUACGUUGUAGCUUGUAUGUUCUAGAAAAGGCAAAUUAAAAAUAAACAGGACACAAUUAGAACGUGUUCUUAGGACAUUUUGACAACUUGUUAUUUAUCACCUUGUAAUCUUGUGAUCUUAGGAGCUUCAGACUAGAUAAUAUGCAUUGGUAGGUAAGGGUCCAUGCCCCUUUUUGUUAAACAAUUGAAGAUAUAAGUAUAGUUCAUAUAACAAAAAAAAAUAGUUUUUAUGCCUAAACAAAUCCUUCUAGAAAAUACGUACUCAGUCACAAAUAUAAAUUGAUCUCAACAUCAAGAAGGUAGUUCUGAAAUAGUCACAUGAACAGAAAUUAUCCAAACAUGAAUUUAGGUAAUAGUCUACGGUUUGCAAAAUAAAUCCAUAAAUUGCGCAAUUCCGGUUGUAAGCCAAAUCUGUACGUAAAAGAACGCUUCAACUCAUAUAGAAGUAAACUGAGUCAAGAUGAAUGCUCGAUCAAAUUUAUAAACAUCUAAGUGACCUUAAAUCCUAUGAUCUUUAGACACAAAUCUUAUUUUGUAAGAGCUUAAAGAGUUGUGUACGUAUAGAUCACAGUUCCCUCAACCAAAAAAAAUAAAAUUGUUGGUGAAUAUAAGUUAAAAGAAGAACGAAAGAAAGAAAGAAAUUGUGUUGUUCACCUAGAUUAUACUAAGUGGAAUCCUACUCUCCAUGUAGAGAUCAUAGGAAAUAACUUCAAAUAUGAAUUUAUGCAUCUCAUCGAGUUUCACAUAUAAAUUCUAACAGCAACAUGUUGGAAGAGAAAUAUAUGAAAUGAGAAUGAUCAACAGGUCCAUGAGUAGAUAAGGAUUGAUGCAGCAGUUCUUCUCCAAAAUUUGAAGAAGAGGACUGCAUCUGCUUAUCAGUUAUCAAUAUUUGCAAGGAUUAAAAGUCUCUUUUAGGGGUUCCUAACAAGAGUUUUCCCUUUUUUAGGAUUUUCUAACUAGAGUUUCAUUUUUAUUAGAUUGUUCUAAUGAGAAUUCUUUUCUCUCUUAAAAUUUUCUUGUGAGGAGUUUUCUUUAUUUUUAGUUAUUUAUCUUGUUAGAUCUGCAAUUUCUUAGAUGUGUUUUUGGAGACCUAGAAAUUCUCAAAUUUAUUCUGUUGGAUUUUUUUUCUUUUAGUUUGAAAGAGUUUUACAUUGGAUUUGACAAUUGAAGAUAUGCACAAAUUUGGGCUCCAAGAUAUUCGUCCGAUGUUGAUAGAUUUUUGGAUCUUCAUAGUACUAUUUUACUUUUUUAAAUUUCCAAAUUUGUUGCGUCCGUCAAUUUUCAAAUUGUUUUUAUCUAUUGUAUGUUCGAUGUAUUGUCCGUCGUUAGUACAGAUUUAUGGAAUAAAAUUAUUUUGUUUAUCAAAAAGAAAUAAAUGAUCUUGUUAUUUCAUAUUAAAAAAAAUUAAGUACCCCAUUAGGGAAAAAAUAAAAAAACUCUUUUUAAACAGACAUAGCUAAACACAUUUAUGUAACAUGAUAGUAGCCAGAACUAAGUUAGGCAUGUAAAUGUGUCCCUGUAGUUCUACCUGCGUAGGUGACCGAAUCUUUAACACUUGCAAUACAAAAUUUUUUUGCCAUUGACCAGUUACAUAGGUAAAACCCAAAGAAUUAUCCAAAAUCCGGAAUAAAUAUCUGACGUUAACAACAUGACAUAAAUAUUUCUUUAACUGACAAAAAAAUCAAUAUUAAUUUAUUCUGUGGCACUGCAAAUUAAUUGUUUUCAUUCAUAUGCAAUUUAGGUCAUCUUGCUAUCACCAAACUCUGUGUUAAUGUGCCGACUUAUUUAUAUAAUUCUCUGGUGAAAUUGACUUUUAUCUUAAACAAUUGCACAAAACUGGGUGCCAUGCGUUUAUGAGCCAACCAAUUGACUAAUAUCAAUUUUUUUUUUAUCAUGAUUAAAGCUUACCUAACGGCUUAUGCUCAAAUCCCAUAAUCCAUUUGGUACUAAAGUACUUUCAUUAACCCUUUUUUUGAUAUUGGGAGCUGGUCUAUUGUGACCUAAUUAGGACCACAUCUCAACCUUGUCUAUUUGUAUACUAAAGUAUCACGUACUGACAAUUUAAGGUUCAGUAGUUAGAUAAUAAACAAUUUAAACAACCAAACGCGUUUGGUCUAGUAGAGCCAAAAUCGAAACUACUUUUUUUUUUUUUUUUUGGAAGGAAAACUGCCCAUUGUCAAUUAGUUACAUGUCAUUUUAUGUUUGGUGAAUUAAUCAGCUUAAUUAAAAUAUUAAUGUGUCCAAGAUUGCAACAGCCACCCCAUCCAACCCUGUGAGGGAAAUUGUGACAACAGAGUGCUCAAACUUGAUCUUCUUCUUGCCCUGAUUUAAGUAAAUUAUUCGUCAUUAAUUACCUAUUUAAGUAAACUCAAGUACCUCGAAGUCCAAGUAAUUAAACUUACUCAACUACAAGCUUGAUUAUUACCAAGAUCAAUUCUUCGCCUUGAACUUUUCCGAGUAUAUAGCCUCUAAUCCUAAUUCUAGAAGAUUUAGACAUAACUCCAUAACUGACUAGGUCUGUGUUAAGUACUGCCUUCCCAGGAAAUAAUAAUUUCUCUUGCAGUCCUUGUCUAGAUUAAAAGACUAAGUCUAAGCGGAUUCCUACUCUCCAAGGAAAUAAUAAUUUCAAACACAUGAUUCUUGUUUCUCAUCAACAUACGUUUGAGUACUUCUACCAUGUUGGAGGAGAAAUUUUAUAAAAGGAUAAACAAGUGCAGGAGUAGGAAAAUCAAUCAAUUGCUUAUGAAUAUUGUUGCUCAGAAAGGGUAAUGUUUGCCAGAGUCUUCAAGUUGAUGGGUCGAAUGCUGGUGCGGCCUCCGCUCCACAAAGCCUUGGAAAUGAGUUUGUAAGUGCGUUCAGAGGGGUGGAAGUAAUCCCAGAACAAGUUUCGAUCUGGCUCUGGACAAACUGUGUAACCCUCUUUUCCACAUUGCACCAUUCCGCCAAGAGUUCCAUAACCACAACAUGCAUUUGUUACAUCAUUGAAGCCUGUUAUAUAUCAAAUAUCAGUGGUCAGUAAUGAUACACAUGAAACCAAUUUUAUGCAAAAAAAGGUUAGUACAAGUUUUGAGAGACGAUAUGCAGUGAAAAACUUAACAAGGAGAGAAUCAUACUCCUCAUGAACCCCUAAAGAAAAAUGGACAACAUUUUAAUGGAUUCAAGAAAACCAAAAAUGAAAAAGUAGAUGGAAUCAAAGGUAAAGAGAAAGGGUGGUGCCGUAGUGGGGAGGCAACUAAUGCCAAUUUUUAGAUAGUUAUUGACUAAGUUUGGCUGAUUCUUGCGUAGAACCAUUUUUGAUUUUGGGUCAAAAGGAGGGUUUAAGCCCAUAAAACCAUUUUUGACACUAACACAAGUAGGAUAAAAAGUCAUAGUUACGAGAUUCACGGCCUAAUUAACCAACCAGUCUAAUCUAGGACUUUGAAAAAAAAUGCUCCAGAAUGAUUAUUCAUAUGACACAAAAAUUUAGGAGAAAAAGCGUAACAAUUAUAACUUUCCUUCACAUUUUCUUUUCAUUUCAUUCUAGGUCGAACAGACGAGUAAACUUGUGAAAAACAAAUAUGAAAAAGAUUACCGUAUUGGCUCGGAUUGUCUCGAAAAAGUUGGACAGUCUUAUAAACCGCUCCAUAAACAGCAAUUGCGCCAGGGUACUUGCUAGGAAUGGCCUUAACAAGAUUUUCCAAUCCCAUGUUGAAAUUCUUGACCAUUUUGUUCAUCUUUCCAUUGCACUUAUCAGUUGGUGCACCAGGCAAAAGGGCCCUUGCUGGGACACAGCCAACAGGUCCUAGUGAAAAUAAGGCAAUUUUGCGUGCCCCAAGCUCAUAAAUUUGGUCAACAAAGUUACCAACUUGUUUUAACAUUUCUUGGACAUAAGCAUCUGGGCUAAGAGUUGGGGCUUCAAAUGGAAAAAAGUAGUUGAAGGCAUCAUUUGAGCCUGAUUCCAAGAAGAACAGAGACUGCUUCACCACUUUCUUGUCUAGAUGAUUUUGCUCUAUCAGUGACUUGAAUUGUUGCAGUUGGGUUUGGAGUGAUGUGACAUUCUGGAAUUGAAAUACAUAAGAAUGUCAUGAUUUGAUUCUAAGAAGAUCUAAAAAUUGAUUAUUUGGUUCAGAUUUGAAUAUUUAUUCUUAUCUUACCAAAUCUUUGUUGGUUGUGGAAAGAACACCGCUUCCAGCGCUAGCAAAAUUGAUGCCAUUAGAUGGAUAAUUCUUUAGAGUUCCAUUAAUUAUAUCAAGCUGUGCCUCGAGGAAUGGUUUUUGUAACGGGAGACCAAGAAAUUGAGCUGCAUUUUGAAAGCAUGAAUUUAGAAUAACAGAACAAAAAAGAAAAGCAAAUGUAAUAUAUAUUAAGAUAAAUUUCACUUUAUACCCUAAAUAUAUAUUAUAUUUAUUUUAUUGUACUUGUAAUAUUUGGCAUCCUAUACUCAUGACAAUUAGCACCAAGGCGCUAUACAAUUUUUUUUUUUUUUUUUUUUUUUUUUUUGUUCUUUUUCCAAAUUGGCAUAGUUUCUUAUGAAUCUCUUAUAUCAGGAUUCGAAACAUUGCACCAUAAGAUAAUAAGAGGUCAGAACCAAAUCAUGAGAAAUUAGGGUUAAAAAAAAGCACAUUUGCAAUAUAUUUGAGAGUUUAUAGGAAAAUCCAUCCUGACUUUUGUGCCUGCAUUAGUUUAAGAAAGGCAAAAGAAACACUCACAUAAGAAAUCUGCAACUGUUCUACCAUUGGUGAAUCUUCCAGUAGGGCGGUGAAAGAAAGUUGAACCAUAAGGUGGAAAAUCAGCUUGAGCAGCACAGUACUUGUUAUAGUGAUUGUUUCCGGCAUCAAAAAUUGAGUCUCCAAAUACGUAGAUUGAUGAUACCUUGUAUCCUAAAACAGAUGACAAAAAGUUUAGGAGGAGAAAGAAUAUGAGGGUUUUCUCCAUCAGGGCUUAUGUGAGUAAUGCGCUAGAGAAAAAGGAUGAUGUGAAUUUAUCUGACUAGAAAGAGAGGAGAAGAAAACAAGGAGAGUGAUGAAAUGAAACGGAAAGCACGAGCUCAGGCCAUGCAUGAUGAGCAUCAUCAUUCAUCACUUUCUGAUCAAAAACAGCUAGCCAAAACUGUUACUUGCCACCAGAAAAAUUUGUCUUUUUCUGCAAAAAAUAGUUCUAUUUAUCUGCUGUUUUUUGCAUUUAAAGUUGUGAACUUGAGAUGAAAUGCAUGCUGCAAAGGAAAAUUUUUUUCCAGUAGACAUUUGACUUUCUCAAAUGUAUUUGCGUUACUUUUGAAAAUCCUGUACAUCCCCUUUAGCCAUGGUUUUCCUUUUUUCUAACUUAUUGAAUUUUUGUUUAACUAAAAUUGCAAAAGCAAGUCUUCUUUUCCCCAAAAUGAACAGAGACUAUAACUAUAUGGAGACCAACAAGAAAAGAAUAUAAGCACACAUGAAGAGAGCUCCUUGAUAUGUAGAUAGUAAACAAAUUUUAUGCAAAAUUUCGCGGCCUUGAUCCUUUUAUUUUAGAGAUGUGUACUCAUUGUUUUCUUGGAAUGUCCAACAAUCUUUUCUAUUUAAAAUUGGGAUGGGAAAAGAGAAACUAAAAACAGGAGGGGAAGUGGUAAAGGCCUGUUUUUUUUUUCAUGAUGAAGUAGAAAGCGUCAUAAUGAGUUCUCUCAAGUUAUUUCUCAUCUAAAAGACUUCAAAUUUACAUAAGUUUUGGACAUCCUGAAAAACAAUGCAAGCUAGAAGGACAAACAACUAAUUUGUAAAAGAAUGAUGAGGCAAACCAAUUGUUAAUAAUCAUAAUUACUUAUUAGUGGUAUGCUUCGAGUUCAUCAGAAGCCAUUUUUCAGCAUAGACAUUAUACAAGUCUACUUAUGAUAGAAUACUUAUUACUUAGUUGCUGUCUAAAUACUACAAGAAAUUCUUGAUUCAGGUAGGACACUUUGAGUAAUUACUAUUACUUAUGUGGGAGUUUUAAUCAUGCAAAAUACAAGUCACAAAAAGUAAAUUUGGUCACAGUAGAAACUGGAGAUUGACAUCUUAUGCCUGAAGAAAUUACUUCUGGAUGGAAAAAUUUUAUCAUCUUUUUGGAUGAAAAUUAACUAUCAAUUUGACAGUUAGAGGCAGGAGCAAAUUGCAAAUAUAAUGGAUUAAUAGGGCCAAAUGCAACUUGCCCUUUAAUUACAAGGUGUUUAGCGUAAUUGAGCCAUUCUUUCGUAGGUUGUAUAACUUGUAUUCAUAAUUUUAGCGCUCCCUGCUCCCUUGCUGGUUGCUGCAUUGACCGCCUCAGACCCCCAACAAAAAAGAAAAAAUCGCAGUUGAUUUCUUCGCGGAAAUCAGUGAAAUGAACAGAGAAAUAGAAGAAAUCCAAGAAGAUUUAUUAGCAAAGGCAGCAAAAGCAGCUGAUGAGCUCUAUAACAUUCGGGACACCUACUUUCCUGCGGACCCAAAUGACAAAAUAUCCAAAUUGCAAGCUGAAUCGGAUCUUGUCCUGCAAACCCUCAAUUCCAUUCCUCCAGGUAGAAACAUGUACUUGUGCAUUACAAAUUUAGCAAAUUAGUAAAAAAGUUUCAUUUUUGUUAUUGGGUUUAAGAGAUUUUCCUUUCUGGAUUGAUGUGCAGAAAACAGGAAAUUGCCAAUUCAACGUGCAAUGUACGAGUACUUGAAAGGGAAAGUAUUGGAUGUCUUCUCUGAUUAUAGGAAAGAUGCUGAGGAUCAUCUCUCAAAAGCAGUGAGUAUAAAAGAAUUGAUUUGUAUCAAAUGGGUCUUUGUUUCUAUUUUUGUCUAUUUUUAAUUGAAUUGUUUGAUUUUGCUGAAAUUGAUGGUUUUUUUUUUUUAAUUUUAACUAUUUUUGGUGCUAAAGGUUAAGUUGAAUCCAUCUCUUGGAGAUGCAUGGUUGAGUUUAGGCAACUGUAUUUGGAAGAAGGGAGAUUUAUCUGCGGCUAAGAAUUGUUUUAUGCUUGCUUUAAGCAAGGUCAUUUCUUGUUUUAUUCUUUGAAAACUUUGUUCAUUUUAUUAGUAGUAUGUUAAGUCAUGCAGUGAUGUAAGUUAGCUAGUUGAUGAUAUGAGACUGAUGUUGUUUCUGUCCAGGGCCCCAACAAAAGGAUACUCUGUCAAUUAUCUAUGCUCGAAAGGAAAAUGGCUCAAGGCAAGAAUUUUAUGGAUAUUGCUCUAGUUCUUUUCCAUGUAAUUUUGCUCAUUCUUUGACUGUCUUCCUUUGAGAGAUGGGGGAAUCCAUGAAUGAAUGACUGGAGUAAUAGUAUGGUGAAGCUGAAGGACGUGCCAAAUUGUAAAUGUGAAUUUAUAGCUGUUGAAAGUCAGAGAUCCUUACUUUAGAAUCUAGCGUAGUAAGAUUUUGAGUAUUACUUGAGGUAGGUUAUCAUGGUUUUUGAAAAUUUUGAGCUUAUCCAAGCGAUUAGGGAAAUGUGGCUAGCCAGAUAUCCUUAGUCAUGGAGCGUGACUCAUAUGUUGGUUCUGGCUUUGUUGCACUGUGACCUCGAUGAAUAACUGUUCUCUUUGAGACUUUGACUGCUAAAUUUCCUAUAUCUUUUGUCACAAUAGAUAUCUUUGCCCAGCUAAACGUAACACUGAUCAAAUCAUUUAUCACGUAUUGCCUUUUCGAUUUUGGGAAAGAGUAAAAAAAAAGAGGGUUGAAACACCAUGGCAUGUUCAAGCUUCUUUGCUGCUUUGGUCCACUACACAGCAGAAAAUAUUCUCUGGACCUCCUGCAGUGAUAUGAUCUUAGAUGGUUGAAGCUUCAAGUUCCGCACUUCUCUGGUAGUUUAUUCUGAUUCUCUGUAAAUCCAUUGUGGCCUUUUCAUCGAGGAUUAUCAUGGAUAUGCUUUAAUAACUUUAAUAUGAGGAGAUAAUUUUUAUCUAUACUGUUACACAGCUGUUACUCAUAGAAGAACUAGAUAUGUUAUGAUGCCUCUAUUCAAAUAGACUGAAAAACAGUAACAACUUUAAAUAUCCUAAUGGCAGUUUCAACUCUGACAUCUCCAUGUCUUUAUCCAAAUUUCACCAUACAAGCCUUAUUGACAACACAACUCCACUUUUUCCUGAUACUCUUUGCUGCUCAUAUGUAUCCCUGCUUACAAUUCGUAAAAAUACUAGAGUUGAAUUUAGCUGAUGACUUCUUGUGCUAUUCUGCUCAUCAGAUUCAUUAUCCACUUUCCAGGUACUGAAAAACAGGCAGAAAUUGUUGAAGAGAGCAUUAAACAUGCAAGGGAAGCUAUUGCUCUUGAUGUCAGGGAUGGAAAUUCCUGGUGUGAGUUUCUAUUAUAAGUCAAAUUCUUCUGUACUUCCUUUUCUAAUUUAUUAGUUAAAGAUCUGGUGUAGGGUAUUCGCAUUGCUUGGCAGAGCGCAUGCUUUAAUUUGAGCAUUUGUUUGUGAAACUGAAUGUUAGCUGUAAAACCUGCCUACUGACAACUAGAGUAGUCCUUGUCUUCUCACUUAACAUUCCAAAUCAACAUGCAUGCUUGUGUGGACUCUGGCAUCAGUGAAUGGUUAGGACUGAAAAGUGUUGAUUCAGCCUUCAUCUGAAGCAAAGAUCUGGAGACAUGGGAGAGUAUUACCAACUUCUAAUGCUGAGAUUUUGCAUAAUGAUAACUUUAACCCUUCAAUUCCUGUCCAUCUAUCGUGUGUUUAAUAUGCUUUGUGCUUGAUAAUGUUGACAUUUGAUAUACAAGAUGGCCUUUUUAUGCUUAUUCAAGUCAUAUGCAAUAUUAUUGUCUGAUGUUGACAGGAGACUUGAUGCAUUCUUGAAGAGUCUCUAAGACAUGCUGUGGGUGUAAUCAACAUACUCAUUGUUCUCACCUACCAACCCUUAAAAAGUAGAACUAAAAAGAAAAGGGAGACUUAAGAUGGUAAAAGCUAGAAACACAUGGUACUGAUAGAUUUCCUUUUAUUUCAGGAUUAUGGGUACCUUGUUGUUGAGAGACCAAGAAUAAUCAUGCCUAUCUACCAGACAUUUUGAGCAUACAGCAGUUCUAUGGCUAAUAGUUACAUAUAUUGUUUCAUGUUUUCAUCUUUGGCAGAUAACCUAGGGAAUGCAUGCCUAACCUCUUUUUUUGUUACCGGAGCAUGGGAUCACAGUAAACUUCUGCAGUCACUGAAAGCAUAUCAAAAUGCUGUAUGUAUGAGAUAAUAACUUAUACAUCCUCCGCGUGAUGUAUUUCUACCCUCUGAAUUGUUAUUAAGCCUGUAAAAUAUUUCCAUUCUGCAUAUCAGGAGAGAGAUGAGACAAUGAAAUCCAGUCCAGACCUGUAUUUCAAUUGUGCUACUGUAAGUAUUUGUUCAACACUUUAAAUCUUUGCUUUUCUUUAAGUUUGUGUGAUUCUUUUUGUGCUUUCUAGCUUUUUUUUUUUUAUAAUAAUCUAUAAAAGUUACACACAGGACCUAAUUGAAUGAAUAAUUAUAGCUGUGAUUCUCAAACUUUAACUGACAAGUUUCAUGAAUUAUGCGGAGGACAGAAAGUAGUACUCGCUUUGUAUUAGCAUUAAAGAUGCUUUUCAAAAUUCCAUGUUUUUGUGUAAGGUAGCUCAUCUUGCUUGGUUUCGAGAUCUUAUUCCAGCUUUGCCCAAAACAUUGUCAUUUUUAAGUCAUCUAUGUCUUUUAAGUUCCGAAAAUGUUUGUAGUGGGUGUGAUUUCAAGCUUUGAUGAGAUGAAACUUUUGAUUCUUGGAGAGGUUAUAACACGCGGAGUGACGAACCCCAAAGUUGAUUGUUAUUUGCAUCUUGUGCAAUAGUAAGAUUCCUUUGGGGUCCCAUGUGGUCAGUUUUGCUCCUUUAAAGACCUCAUUUGUGGGUAACUUUGGAAGUACGCAAGGAAAAAAUUAGUGAUUCGAUUUUUGGGUAGUCAAAAAGGAUGUCAUUUGGAAGUUACAAACCAAAGUUUUGAGCUUUUGUAUUAACCUGCAGUAGCCAUGAUGUUAAUGGUCAGCUAACUAGCUGUCUUGGAGAGAGGAAAACAAAAUACUGAAGUAAUGGAACAAAGCCAGUGAAGAUGCAUCAGUUUCACAAAAAAUUAGAAGUUGACAGUCAGAGAGGAAAGCUUUAGUUUACUAGUUUAGACAACCUCUGGAUCAAAUUUUGGCCCUCUGAUACCUUUUUGUGUAAAAAAGGGCUAUGUAAUCACAAUAUUGACCAUAUUCUUGAGUUCUGUUUACCAAGGAUCAGCCAUCAGUGGUAUCAAGUAUGUACUCUUAAAACUCAUGCUUUAGUCCAUACUCCAGCUAACUUUAAUUCCAGAAUCAUUUAGUUUUUGGCUUGAACAAUGUCUAGACACAUAGCUGGGAGAUCUCAUCAGAAAACAGUUUGGCAUAUUUUUAACUGUUUUUGUUGUUCAUUUCCUCAGCUUGUAAUUGUUUUGACCAAGAAGUUUAAUGCUUUUACAAAUUAUUUUCAUUCGAAUGAAAUUCCGUGAAUACUUAUUUCUUUCUGUUAUCAUUUAAUUUACCAGUUAAAAUUAAAAUGAAAUUUUGUUAGGAGGCUUCUAUUGAAGUUAAAAUUGCUUUUACAUUCAUGAAUUUCCCCUGCAGUGUACAAUAUCUGCAGAUGUGGAACGUGUUUGAACUUCCACUGGGUCUAGUUAAACUGAAUCUAUUCUUCACUCUGC